GUGUUUCCUGAUGUUCUUGUUGAGCUGCUCUUAUGAUACAUGCUCUCUGUGACCCAAUAAGUUUACACCACUUUUUUUUUUCUAUAGAAAGUUGUUGGAACCAUUUUUCACUGUUGUUCUUGAAAUACCAUUACCUAUUACCUGGUAUAGAGAGCUAUAUCAUUCAGAUGUAAACAAACUUUGUUAGUCCCCUCGAAUCUUUGAUCUCAUCUUUCCUCCAAAAUUCACCAUUGUUAGGUUCAGCGUGUCACACUCUGUUGCACUAAGGUCAAGCUUCGUUCUGUCUUUUUCCUCAAACAAGGUCAAGUUUUGUUCUGGAAGCUUAUUUUAGCUUGAAGCACCACCGUAAGGACAAAUGGGUAGUCCCUUUGCACAGGCAUGCCAUGUUUGGUCAUGUAUAAACGUACUAUGAGAUACCUCAAGAGAACACUUUACUACUUCAGAUAAUAUAUGAUUGGUAACAUCAGAAAGCUUUGGACAAUAUAAUUGUCAAGCCUUGUGAAGUUUUAUUUUGCUUCACAACAUAUGUUCUUGCUUGAGUGAUCUGACCAAGUUUGGAUAUAUGCUCCUAAAAUGCGGAUUUGUCAUGCAAUUAUUCUUGCAGCCCAAUGAGGUGGAUAAAGCACUUCGAGCUUGCCAGGUAGCAGAAAGAAAGGUGUGUGUGAGCUUGCUCAAGCUUGGUCGAUGGUUCUAUGGUUUUAGGUUGCCCGAUGACUAUGAGUCGUACAAAAACUCACUGAGUUGGCUCACAAGCGACGACGGGGCAAAAGUUCUAGUCAUUCUCAACCGUGGUGCUGUCCAUGAGGUAUUUCGUCUUCAGGUCAGUUUGGUGGGUACAAAUAACUGAACUUAUAGUAUGCAAACAUCUGUACUUGGCUUUGCUGGACCUUUUGUAAAUAUAUGCCAAUCCUUUUGUAUCUUGAUGCCCUCGUGGCACUGCUUUGAUGUAAAUGGAAGUAUGGAACAAUAGAGAUGGGGAAAUACCAAACACUGUUGUUGUAUAGUCCAAUAUAAAUAAUAAACUCGCCAUGACGUGUGACGUGGUGACAAAUUGACAAUGCCAGUUCUGUUUAACAUCUGAUGUUCUCUCAUUUCUGUAUGGUCUAUGUAUUAAUUAAUUUUCUUUACGAGAGAAUACAUCAUCCUACUUCAGGUUUGUAUUACAUGUUGUUUGAGAAAUGAACUGUUUUAUUCAUUCAAAAAACAAAUUACAUCAGAUUGAAUUUUUUUUAAAACAAGAUGGAAAUACUCCCUCCGUUCCUAAAUGUAAGUCUUUUUAGAGAUUUCAAUAUGAACUGCAUGUGGAUGUACAUAGACAUAUUUUAGAGGUAGAUUCACUCAUUUUGCUCAACCUCUAAAAAAGACUUAUAUUUAGGAACGGAGGGAGUAGUUGUCAAUUUUGAAUUUCAAGUAGACAAUGAGUAGAAAAACGUUGUAAGAAGAAGAAAAGAAGUGAUAAUGAAACAAACAACAGAAAAUGGAGCAAGGAGUUAAAAGCUUUUACUGAGUACUUCGUCCAUCUGGGUUUACAAAUUUUGGGUCAAAUUAUACAAUUAGAUAGAUUUGUAUGUAAAAGAGAUUUUGCACCUUAUAAUUUUUGUGACAUAUAGUUUUUUUAGUUAAACUUAUGGUCAAAAUUUUACCAAAAAAAUAUAUAGGGUCUAAUAAACCUGGAAGGUAGAAGUAGUAGACUUGUUACAUGGGAAUUUGUACAACGCCGCCUUCAGGAGUAGGGCAAUUUGGAGGCCAGUUUUUUUAUUUAAAAAAAGAAAAAAAAUCAGACUUUUCAGUUUCAAGAAAAACUGAAAAAAUUUACUCCCUUCGUUCGGAAUUACUUCUUGUAGAAAUGGAUGUAUCUAGACACUAUAUCAAGCUAUUUUUCUCUUUCUUUUUCUCUGUUUAUUAUUUAAGACGAAGGAACUGGAGUUCAUCUUUAAGGUUACGGCACUUCAAUGCUUAAUUAAUAAAGCAUGCAUUGAGGUCAAAUUGUUACUACUCCCUCCGUUCAUUUUUAAUAUAAGACGUUUUAGGCAUUUAAGACAACACUUAAAACAGUUCAGUUUCAGCUGUCUAAAACGUUUUACAAAAAUGAACAGAGCGAGUAAUACAUUCUAGAAGUGGAAAACAUGACACUGCAGAAAACUAUACAAAAAAGGAAGGAAAUUUUGAAACUACUCCCUCCGUUCCUAAAUAUUUUUGAUUUCUAGAUAUUUUAACAAAUGACUAUAUACGAAGUAAAAUGAGUGAAUCUACACUAUAAAUAUAUCUAUAUACAUCUGUAUGUGGUAGUCCAUUUGAAAUCUCUAAAAAAGACAAGUAUUUAGAAACAGAGGAAGUAUAACGCACACUAUAAAACGUUUCUGGCUCCGCCACCGAACCCGGCCGGACGCCGCAAACGCAGCCCAGCUGACCGCAGGCGGUGGCAGUGUGUCACUGUGACCGGGAACGGCGAAGCCAAGCCGGAUGACGAACCGGCCGCCAGCAGCUUGUCUCCCCGGCCGCGUCCGGUCCGAGCGGCAGGUGAGGUCGCGUCGGCACCACACAAGCAAAGCUCCACCGGCCGCCCAAAACUCAUCAACUGCAUGGGGCCAUCGAACUACACAAGGAGCCAUUUGCAGUUGCAGGCGAUGACAAGCUUGAUACUCUCACCUUGCUCUUGAACUGAAGUUCCCCCUUAUCUCGCGUCCCACUGAGCGGUGUGAGCUGGUAUCAGCUUAGAGCGUUCUGCUAGUCAUAUCUUGCAUCUUCUUUUGUUCCCGGAGUGUGUAGCGGUCUUAGGUUUCGUCUGACUCUGACACAUCAUUUCAAAAAAGUUUGAAGGAUUAGUUCAGUUUAUCUCAUGGCAUUGGUAAAUGGCAACCCUGGGGUUCACUUUCGUCCCCACUUCCCGUAGAAAGUGACAUCAAGCCAUGCCUAUCUGAGCGGAAUAAUUUUCAGCAAGGAGUUUCAGUGCAGGAAUUCAGAGGAUAGAACUGAAGUGUGAAAUGGGUGUUCAUGAAGAGAUCGUUGCACCCAGUGAGAUCUUGAUGACUGAGCAGAUCUUCAUGGAUCUCUGUUAAACUAGCACGCAAGAUUCCUGAAUCUGUACAGUGCAGACAUUCCUGGAAAACUAUACGAAAGGAGAAAAAUUCAGAGAAGGGGUGACAUUCUGCAGGUAUAGAGGCGACUGGGGAGUUUACAGAGGCGUACUGGAGUCUGAGAUUCCUCCGGGGGAAAGAGCCUAGACAAACAAACAGAGAUGACCAUGAACCGCAACGCAAUACCGGCCUGCUGCUCCUGGUGCGGCUUAAGAUGCACUGACAAUUAUCUAACUGAUACGUAGAAAAUCAAACAGUUGAAUGAUGAUCUUGUUCAAACUACCUAGUAGAAUUUUCACAUCUGCCAAGAAGUGUAGAAUCUUUGGCCUAAUAUUGAACUAUUUUGUAGCCCUGUUUCUGGUCAGUGCUUUCCUACUGGAACUUGCACUAAGACGUGCAUCCUCCUUAAGUAUGGCAAUUUUAUUCAUGGGUACGGGUACCCGCGGGUACCGUACCCGCAUGGGUAGGGUAUGGGCACACUUUUAUACCUAUGGGUUGUACUCAUACCCUACCCGUUAAGUCAUGGGUAGGGUACGGGUAUAGCCUUGUACCUGUGGGUAUACCCAGACCCUACUCGCUGGUGAAUUAAUGUUGAGUUGUUGUCAAUUAAUCAUUAAUUUGUCAUGUGACUCAGCUACUCCUAUUGAAUUAUUAGUAUUUUGUGAUUUCCAUAUUUUGAUAGUGUCACGUACUCAUCUACCUGUUAUUCAGCUGAGAUAAUUGUUUUUUUGUGUCAAAUGUGCUACCAAUGAGUGUAAAAUUGUGAACAACUUGUAUACUAUUUGUUCUACCCGCUGGGUACCCAAUGGGUACGGGUACCUGUUGGGUAUGGGUAUGGGUAAAUUUUCAUACCGAUGGGUACGGGUAUGGGUAGAAUUUUAUACCCAUUGACUAUAUGGGUAUGGGUUUGGUAUUGCUCUACCCUACCCAUACCCUACCCAUUGCCAUCCUUAAUCCUCCUGGAGUCACUACAGAACCACUUGAUCACCAACAAAAUAUCACUGAACUUUUCUGUUAUUUAAUUGCAUCCUGGCAGUGCUAGCAGAUAGCCAAGCUUCUUGGCUUUUCUGUUACGAUCGUAUCAAAAAUCUGAAAGAGAAAACAAAAAACAAACAGAGAAAAGAAAGAGAGAAGGGAGCAGGACAAGUGAAAACAACAUAACAAGUCUGAUGAUAUCUAUUUUCCCCAGAUGUAUCAGUUCAUGGUACAGAUAGAGAUGGACAGCCUAAUAUACCGAUAAACAUGGCUUACAGUUUCGACGAGUCCUACAAUUCAGUAGUAGAAAUUAUUUUCUGAACCGAAGAAAACCAGGGACCAUUGCCUGGCCUGCUCCCUCCCAUGAACAACAGAACGUUCCUCCCAGCAACCAGAGAUCCUUGGAGACUCCUCAGCCUCAACAGCACGGGUAGAUGGUGACGCAGCGCCGCUUCGGCGGGGUACAGAGGAGCAUGAACACCAAGGCGAUGACGGCCGCGACGAGGAGCCCCAGGAAGCUGAAGCCCGCCUCCUCCUCCGACUCGCUGCUGCAGCACACCUUCCCCAUGCUAGCCUGAGCAGAGAGGUUGCUUCCCGGUGCUGCCUACGCUAAUGAUCAGUGGUGGUCAGACGAAGAAGUGAGGCUUGCUUCCUAGCAGUGGUACGUUUCGUUCUUUCUUAUACCACCACGGCCAUGAUCGCCGUGGUGUGGCCAGUUUGUUGGGGCGUCACUAUCAGGUCUUCAAUGAUGCCACCCUCCUGUGCUCCCCUUCCGUCUCUGAAGACAGCUCAGCCUAUGCUCGCACCCACCCAGGCCACUGACGCCGGUCAUAGAUGGCAUUGUUAGGCUGAUCAACCGCCCCAGAUGUUGAGAUACAUAGUAUCUGGCAAACAGAUCUGGCCUUUCUUUUACGCCUGCCUUUCAGCACGGAAUGUUAGAUAGAUGGCUGUUCAACUUUACGCCGUCGCGGCUUCUCGCUGGCGAUCUUGUGGAUGCGGUCACUUGACGGCGAUCCGGAUGAAAAUUACGGGGACAACAAUACUUGAUCGAUGGUGAUGUGUAUACAUGUAUGAAAAGUACAGGAUCAAAGGGCUGGUAUUCUGAUAUCCUCCUGGUGAAAUUCAAACGGUUGAUGGCUACUUGUCCCCGUAUGUCCGAUAGCAUUGUGAUGGCGAUGGAGAGAACGUAGCGCGCGUGCAUGAUCUCGGUGUGAAUGUGAAACACGUCCCCGUCUCCAUCUAUUUGAGGUGGUAGGGAUUAGGUGGUGCAUGUUGCGUGUCGGUGACUAGGGUUUUCUGGGAAUUUGGGGAAGAACCGAAGAAGGAUCAAGCCCAAGCAAAUGGCAUGUGCCAUGUUAAGUCAUGCCUGACCGACAGGUGCUACGCUUUGUCAUGUCUGGUCAGCAGGUGCUACGCACGACAGAUCUUUCAAAGACUUCAAGCUGUGUCGGGUGGUGGUACUCGGCAGCAUGGUGCUGAAGUGUAUCAGUGGCGACCGCGACGUGCACAGCUGUUUGCGCGCAGGGAGGAGGUGCCGUUGGGCGCCGUGAUGGCGUCGACGAUAGCUAGACCGAGCAAGGUUGAUGCAUCAGUACAGUUCUGAAGAUGGAGCGGUGGCAGUUGGCGGCGGCGGCCUUUGAGAGCACGCCGGACCGGCGAGACCCAUGCCCGGCAGGCGUCCUGGAUGGGUCCUCAGGUCUUAGAUGUUAGGUUUGCUGCGAUGUCUGUUUGGUAUUAGGCCCAGGCUAUCUGCGCCCAUUCAUCAACUGGAUAGGUGUAGUGACAGUUUGUUGCUUAGACGGCAGCUUUAGUCUUACUGUGGUAUUACUUUGUAAGAUCUUGUGAGAAUAAUUAAUAAAAUGGCUGUAUGCAUCGUCAAGAUGCAAAGGCCGGGGUCAUCCUCCUUUUCUAAAAAAAAAAUGUGCCAUGUUGCCUUACAGCUUCGUCUAACACUAGAAGACAAGCGAGCGUGAAGUUUCUUCCUAGACAGGGAUUGCUUCCUGGCUCAGCUAAGCUGAGUCCAACUUCAGCUGGACACGGUUUUGUUAUCAGGAGAGAUUCACACUGUUUUCGGUGGUUUCUAUCUUCGUAACGGCUAAAUAUUAUGCUUUAAUUUGGCUAUUAACCACAUUUAACUUAUGUCCUGGUUUUUCAUUUUAACUUUUGAUGAUUUACAAAUGAAAUAAAAUAUAUGCAUGCAGGUAUCGGACAGGAACUUGCCUUUGUAGAAUUCCAUAAGUAAAUAUGUCAUAUCUAUAUGAGUAUCUAUAUCUAUAUCUAUAUCUAUACCUAAUAAUAAAGAGGCUAUUGCUUCUCACCAUCGUAAUUUUAUCCGUAUUUUCGUCCGUCCGUUCACCUUUUUGGUACGUCAUCGUUUGGCUCAUGGACUGGUGAGAAACUGUUUUAUGUAUGCUUACGGAAUAUUUCACUUCAUCAUGCAAACAAACUUUAAAUAUGCAUGCCACUUUUUUUUACAUACCCAUUACUGAAUUUCUUCAACUAUAGUUGACAUCUCAUAUUCUAUCACUGGAUUUUUUCAGCGGUAUGUAAAAUACGACAUGCCUUGCAGCUUGAACACUACUACUCAAAGGAAUUGGCAAUAUGAGCAACAUGUGGAUGAACUUAAAUUUUUGUGUGAAUGCAUAUGUUAGAUACGAUCACAGGAUUGAUCUUGAACGAUUAACACGAUGAAUCUUGAAAGAAUUAAUUAUGUAGGACUCAUCGUAAUGCAUGUUUUUCAUCUAGAUUGCUCACGUUGCAACGCACGGGUCCUUUUACUAAGAUGACAUAUAUUUUGCAAAAUAACAGCAGGAGGAACCGUGCAAAAGGCUGCGCCACAAGGUUUUUUCUUUAACACAGUACAAUCGCAGACAUACACGCACAUACACUCAACCCUGUGAACGUGAUACAAAAAAUAGACCUUAUGUUUAGCAGCAUGCUCUUCAUUAGAGAUUGGCUGCACGAUACAAAAAUGCAAAGGUCCUCGUCGAAUAUCAACAGUCCAUCUAACAUCCUAACCCAUCUAUUCUGAAGUACAAGAUGUGAAAUACUACAACUGUUGUCAUGUACCAAAGUUGCACUAAACUUAAGACACUUAUUUUGGGACGGAGGGAGUAACGAAUUGGUGAAAAGAGCACCACAACCAUGUUGUCUUGUAAAUUGUAACCAAUGGGUGAAAGAAGCACAAACAUGAAGAACAUACACUAGUGAGGUAGUGAUGACUCAUUCAAAGACAUUACUGAAUAUAUAUAACACUACACAUCGCAUAGCUCGGUGCCCACGGGAUGAUUGUGCAAAACUUAUAGCCGGAAAGAGUCUCAGUUCUCUCGUAACUAAGAUUAUGACUUAAUUAAAAUUCAAGGGACUACCCACCAUUCCAGAACAACAACAAGACAUAUGAGAAACCAUUUUGGGCAGCAUCACACACCAUCACGACAUUCGUAUGAUAUGUUUCUAACUUAGACUCCAGGGGAACAAGCAACAUUCGCAUCCUUGCUUUGACACAUACACGUAAGAACGUGGAGCUGGGAUGGUUUCAAACAUCAGAAGAUGCCUUCGGGAAGAUCUCAGAUGUCUUCACUAAGAUUAUGACUUAAGUAGCAUGAUGGCAAACACUACGUAGCAUGGAUAAAGAUCCCUUACAGGCAAAGCUACGUUAGGGCAAGGGGGCCCUUGCCCCCCUCCCCCUCUAUGAAUCGAAAUCUCACUACCAUCUAUUAAUAUUUCUAUUACUUAAGUACAUGAUUGAGCUGUAAAAUAUCCCAUUUACAAAUUUGAUCAUGUUGCUUGUCCGCAUCUUAAUAAAUGGAUGCACUAAAAAUAAUAGACAACAAGCCAACUAGCUUGCAGAAGUACAAAGUUAAAUGUUUAAGCUCAUAUGUGUGUUGUGGCACUUGCACCUAUGAUAGCAAAGGGGGGGGGGGGUGGGCUUAAACUAACUGAAGAGGUGUUACAUGUUGCUCGAUCUACACAACGGGAUGUGUAAUGUGUUCACGGUAAACAUGGAACCUUGCCUUCCAUAAGAAAAUACCAAGAUUGAUCCCUCCCAUGAUGGCAAGCACUACGUAGCAUGGAUAAAGAGCUCUCACUGGCGGAGCUACAUUUCUCCCAUGAUGGCAAACACUAGGUAUCAUGGGCAUUCCAGAGCACCCGAUGGAUGUUAGCCGUCAAAAAAUGAGUGACAGGUGUUAAAGGUGGCUAGGGCCUUUCAGAGCACCCGAUGACUACCAAGUAAUCUAGAGCAAAAACAAGUUUAAUCAUAGUUCAUUUUAGAUGUACACAAAGAAUAUUUUAUCCAAAUUGUGUGGACGACUAUAAGAAAUUCAAGCUGCAUUUUAUGACAACCAACAAUGUUUAAGCACCAGCUCUUCGAAUAUAUGGGGUAGGUGGUUUGCACCCCAAAGAUUUCAAAAGGAUAUUUGACCCUAAAUUUUAAGGUAAAUUUAUCAGAAAUUUAGGAAAAGGGCUAGGUGCACAACUCUAUAACUCCUUAUAAUUUGAGAAGUUAAAUUUCAAGAGAUUGUUUGAGGAGUUAACUUUUCUUGAAAAAAAUCCCAGAGAGCAAUUUAUAAAUGAAUAUUAUCAAGAAAACAAUAGGCGGUACAAUGGAAAGAUAACAAGAGACAAAAGAUCAACAAAUAUAAAUACAUUGAAAACCAUACUCUUUGUAUUGUAUGCCGCCCAUCGAAGUUUAAAAAAUGCACUAAAUCAACAGUAAAGGAAAGGGCCACAUGCUAACGCCCUUGCCAUACCAUGAUUUAAAUACCGCAAUAGCCACUCGUCGCUAGAAACGAGAUCUAGGACCCGAUGUAACAAUAUCGGUUGGAGCAUAAACCCACACAAUGCAGGCUUGUACUCAUUCACCACCAGUCUAUAGGAUUGGAGAAAUCGGGCCAUGCUACAGAACAACUCGAAACAAGACGUUGAAAUCGCCGCACAAAGAUCCAACCAACUUCUUUUCAUGAUUAACACGCCAACUGUCAAGAUCUAAAGAUAAUCGAAUUUGACCCUUCCUCCCAGGCCCUUCAGGCAUCGUUCGGACAUUGUCGAGGUAGGGAGAGGCCGUAGAUACCUUAUUCCAACGCGGUAUCGCUGCUACCAUCUCGUCAACGUCGCGAGGGAAACAAAAACUAAGGAAAAUAAGAACGAAAGGGACGGGUUCCCACUCCUCUGCCCCCCCCCCCCCAGAAAAAAUCGUUGUACAGGAGAAGGGGCCGAGGCGUUAGCCUUGAGGAGACUUUUUUGACAUUAUCGCGCACUACUAGGAAAAGGGCUAUAGAUAAAAUGGCCACUAAUGGCGCACCAGACAUGUGGUGCGCCACUACUAUAUAGCAGUGGCGCACCAGACACACGGUGCGCCACUAGUAACAAUUUUUUUUCCAAACAUACUAAUGGCGCACCAGCCUCAUAGUGCGCCAUUACUAUAUUUUUUUUAUUUUUUUGCAGAACUACUAAAGGCGCAUCAGUGUAUAGUGCGCCAUUACUAGUUACUGUGCCCUGGUGCGCCUUUAGUGUUGUUUUUUUUUUGCGAAACUACUAAUGGCGCACCACCAGCAGGUGCGCCAUUAGUAACCAGCGUUACUAAUGGCGCAUUUGUAGGUGGUGCACCAUUAGUAAUCUGGGACCAGCUAGAUAUUUUGGACAGCCACACCUACCCACUCACUUUUCCCACUUCAUUCUCUCCACCUCCUUCUCCAAGCUUGUCUCGGCUGCCUCCUCCUCCUCACCUCAUUUGUACCAUAAAUUCAUCCAAAUUAAGUGGUUAAAUUACCUUUUUUUGAUAGGUAAGUAAGGGGGAAGCUAUCUUUAUGUUGUUCUCCCUCCAACAACGUGCACAUGCACUUUUUAUGGCCUAGCUAGAUCUAUGUAUGUUUGUGGUGUUGCAUAUGUUUGUGGUGUUGCAUAUAUGUUUGCGUUUGCAGGUACCGGUAUUUGAAAUGCGAUAGUUGCCAAUAUUUUGCCGGAAUAUUGAUUCAUUUCCGUUUCGGCGAGAAUUUUGGCACUAUGCAUUCUUUUUGGUCCUAUUUUUAGGGAAAGUCAUGCCAAAUUUUUUCUUGGUUCUAAAAUAUCGUUUUGCUCUACCCCGCAGGCGACCAUGGUCCGCACGAUGACCGAAGGCAUCGUGAAUAGGUUUUUGAGCUCCGCAAAGGCCGAGAUGCUUCAAAAGAACGAGACGGAGAUAAGAUGUCCGUGUCGAAGAUGCAAGCUGAAGAGCCUUAUUGCGGACCCGGAUUCCGGGCAGGUGCGGGACCACCUGCUCUUGCGUGGUUUCAUGGAUGGCUAUCGGUGGCAAGGUGAUGAAGAUGACUAUGAAGUCGUCCAUGGGGGCCGGGCAAGAAAUGAGGAAGGGCAGCAAGACAACCACCGUGGCUCGGGCGGGCAAGAAGACGAAGAAUCUCCAGGACAUGAUCACGACGGUGAUGCUGUACACAGUCAUCAUGUAGAAGAUGCCGGACAUGAUGAUGAGGAAGAUGCCAGAGCAGACGAAGGGCAUGAUCAUGAAAAUGAAGAUGUCGCGGAGCAGACGACGAUGGACCAUCGAUGGGCUGGGUGCAGGACCCUCAUAUUCAAGAGCUGCUUCUCAAGCAGACGGAUAACGCAAGAGCUGCCGUCCGAGAGAAAGCCAAGCUGGAUCAACUGGAGAUAGACGCGGUUACUCCAUUGUAUGAAGGAUGCAGGCCCGAGGAUACCCGCGUGAAAGUAACGCUCAUGGCUCUGGAGAUGAAGGUAAAACACAAAAUGACCGACGCAUGCUUCGACGAGAACAUGUCAUUCUGGCACGAACGUCUUCCCAAGGGGAACAAGUGCCCGACCAGUUUCGAGGAGGCGAAGAAAAUCGUGUGUCCUCUGGAUUUACCGCACAUGAAAUACCAUGUGUGCAUGAACAAUUGCAUCAUUUAUCGGGACGAGCACGCGGAGUCUACCAUAUGUCCGGUGUGCGGCGUCACUCGAUACAAGAAGAGGAAGAAAGCUCCUCGAAAAGUGGUGUGGUACUUUCCGAUCACUCCUCGUCAGUAGCGGUAUUUCGCGGACCCUAAGGUAGCAAAGCUCCUGCGUUGGCACGCGGAUAGGGAGGAGAAGAAGCGAGAAGAUGACGCAAAUGAUCCGGAGAUAAAUAAAAAAGACAAGAUGCUGAGUCACCCUAAGGAUGGGAGCCAUUGGCAAGCGUUGAACUUCGAACACCCAGAAUUUGGGAAGGAUCCAAGGAACAUCGUGCUGGGCGCGAGCACCGAUGGAGUCAAUCCGUUUGGCAGCCAGAGAAGCACACAUAGCACCUGGCCUGUGUUUGUGUGGAUGUAAAACCUUCCCCCCUGGUUGUGCAUGAAGAGGAAGUACAUUCACAUGAGUAUGCUAAUUGAAGGGCCGAAACAACCAAGGAACGACAUCAAUCUGUAUCUGGGGCUGCUGAAAGAGGAGCUAGACACGCUGUGGAAAACGCCAGCCAAUACGUGGGACGCCGCAGAGAAAGAAUAUUUCCCUAUGAGAGCCGCACUGCUCACGACGGUGCACGACUAUCUCGGUUACGGAUAUCUCGCGGGGCAGGUGGUCCACGGAUUUUCUGGAUGCGUCAGGUGCAUGGAUGACACAACGUAUCGCCAGCUAGAUAGAGAUCCCGGGUCUUCGAAAACCGUGUUCAAGGGACAUCGAAGGUGGCUUCGCGACGAUGACCCGUGGAGGAAACGCAAGGACCUGUUCGAUGGUGAAACCGAACCCCGAAGACGCCCGCGUACGAGGAGCGGUGAGGAAAUAGACGAGCUGUUGAAAAAUUGGAAAGAUUGCCCACUGCCGGGAAAGAAGCAAAAGGCGCCAGAGCCGGGAAAGAAGCGAAAGGCGCCAGAGCCGCCGCUGAAGGUAUGGAAAACGAGGUCUGUUUUCUGGGACUUGCCGUACUGGAAGAUCCACCGUGUGCCUCACAGCCUUGAUGUCAUGCAUAUCACGAAGAACGUGUGCGAGAGUCUGCUUGGUACCCUGCUCAACAUGCCAGAGAGGACCAAAGAUGGGCCGAAAGCAAGGGCAGACUUGAAAUCAAUGGGCAUCAGGGAGGAGCUUCACGCUAAUGAUGAUGAUGAUGAGGCGAAGCAGGACACGGAAAGUCGUCGCAAAGGCAAAAAGGCCAAGAAGACCGGAAAUGACUUCCCUCCCGCGUGCUUCACUCUAAGUUAGGAGGAGAUCGAUCAGUUUUUCACCUGCCUCGUAGGAGUAAAACUUCCUUACGGUUACGAGGGGAAGAUAAGCAGAUACCUAGACUCAGCGAAGCAGAAGUUCAACGGGAUGAAGUCUCACGACUGUCACGUGCUAAUGACGCAGAUACUUCCAGUUGCAAUCCGUGGGAUCAUGGACGCGCACGUCCGUGAAACGCUAUUUGGCCUAUGCAACUUUUUCGACGUCAUCUCUCGGAAGUCAGUUGGCGUGAGGCAACUCAGAAGGCUACAGGAAGAGAUCGUGGUGAUACUAUGCGAGCUUGAGAUGUACUUCCCGCCCGCAUUCUUCGAUGUUAUGGUGCAUCUGCUGGUCCAUAUCGUGGAGGAUAUCAUCCAACUCGGGCCGACGUUCCUGCACAGCAUGAUGCCGUUCGAAAGGAUGAAUGGUGUCAUCAAAGGAUACGUUCGCAACAUGUCACGUCCAGAGGGAAGCAUAGCCAGGGGCUUUCUGACCGAAGAGUGCAUCUCCUACUGCACGAAUUAUCUAGGCAUCGAGAACCCCGUUGGUCUGCCCGUCAACAGGCACCUCGGCAGGCUCGCUGGAUGGGGUCACCGUGAGGGUCGCCGCGAAAUGCAUGUCGACUUCGAGGGUCGACUCGCCGACUUUGAAAGAGCAAACCUAGUCGCGCUACAACACAUAGACGUGGUCGAUCCUUGGGUGGUGGAGCACAAAACCUUUAUUGAGAAGACGUACAAUGACCGAGGCCAACAGAGGACGGACAGAGUUAUAAUCAAAGAGCACAACUCAUGUUUCACGCGUUGGUUCAAGCAGAAGCUUCUGUCAUACCCUUUACAUGAGGAUUCUUCCGCGGAAGAACAACUCAUAUUCGCCUUGUCACAGGGCGCCGAGCACAACCUGAUGACGUAUGAGGCGUACGAUAUCAACGGCUACACAUUCUACACCGAGGACAAGGACAUCAAGAGCGAUGGUUAUCAGAACUCCGGGGUAACGAUGGAAUCCUACACCGGUAACGACAAGGACAGAUACUACGGAAGGAUCGAGGAGAUCUGGGAGCUGAGCUACGCUGGAGAGAAGGUCCCGAUGUUCCGUGUCAGAUGGGCCAAGAGCGUCAUAAAAGAAGACCGGUAUUUCACCACCAUGGUUAUACCCGAAGCCAAAUCCAAGACCGCAGGCGCGAACGUUACCGCAAAAAAUGAGCCAUGGGUACUGGCUUCCCAAGUGGACCAAUGCUUCUUCAUUACCGACCCGCUGCCCGACCCACUGCGCCGCCGCCCCGACUGCGCCGCCGCCCCUACUAAACCGCCGCCCGUAAGCCCCCCUCCUCCUCCACCCAUAAGCCCCCCUCCCCCUGACUGACUCCCCUGGCCUCCGUGCGCAGUUCACCGUCCCGGAUCUCCGACUGCAUCGCCUCCCGCGGCGGCAACAUCCACAGCGUCGACGUCUUCGUCCCCGACGACGCCCCCGCGUCCACCAGGAGAGGAGGCCCGAGCACCUCGCGACCUCCCCGCCGUCUAUCCCCGCCUCCCCCAAGCUCGCCGUCUCCGCCCUCCGUCGUCUCCGCUCCGGCCACCACCUCAUCGUGGUCAGGUAAUCUUCAUUGCCCUCCUCCCUCUGCCUCUCUUCCUCCUCUCCUCCCUCCCGGCCAUGCCCUCUUCUUCUCUCUUUUGCUAGGUUUAGGUCAAAUCCCUCUCGAAUUUAGGUCAAAUUAGGUUCAAAUCCCUCUGAAAUUAGUAUGUAAAGCUCACUGUUCUGAAGUUCUGAUCAGUUCAGUACCUUAGUAAGCAAUAAACUUGGCAAGUUUUAGCAAGAUUUAGCAACAAGAUUUGACAUGUGCAGGCUGUGCUACCUAUACAUUGUUGCCCUUUUUGUAACUGAUGAUUGUUAGAUUGGGUUCCUACUUUGGUGCAGAUUGGAACUAGAGAUAAUUUACCUCUUCUGCCCAUUUAGGACGAGCUUUCUUGCCGGGUGAGGGUAGUUUGUCACUGAGGUGUAAUUACAGAAGUAGUGGAGGGAUGGAUACUGUCUUUUAUGUUUUGUUCUGGCAUUGUUUAGUUUGUGGUGGUAGCUUAGCACAACCUAGGACCAUUGAUUUGGUUUCAUCAUGUUCAUCAUACAUACUCAACCUCCUAAUUUUGUUUCAUCAUGUUCAUCAUACAUAGCCAACCUUUUAAUUUUGCUGGGUGCGUGUUUUUAUGGUCCAUAUAAGUUUCUUGUUUUAUUUAGCUGAAGAGCGGUGUUACAGUUUUUUUGAGGCAAACAUAAAUAUUAAUUUGCAGCAUAUGUACAUUUAUUUGUUUAUUUUGAAUUUGAAUGCUGCAGUGUUUUGUCUUUCUCUUGAGAAAAUAAGCAUCUGUUUGGGAGCUUGGCUAAGCAUCUGUUUAUUUGGCCUCUUGGUCAUGGGAAAACAUGAGCUCACUGAGGUUCAACGCCAGUCUCUGUAGACUUGGUGAUGGCGGAUUUUGACAGCCAGACGCAGCAGCAUAUCAAUCUGGAUUUGUGUUGAUUCUGAAUUUGUGGAGAGAGGAGUGCAUUCAGAGAAGAGAAGAGAAUACAAACUUACAUACUCCUUACCUAGACAUAAACUUGGCAAGUUUUAGCAACAAGAAUACAAAUGAUACUCACUCUAGCCACUGUUUGUAGUUCUAGCCACUCCUUGCUGUUAGUUCCUCAAGGAGUUCUGCACAAAAUUAGCUCAACAAGUUGCAUCUGGCUUUUACAAAGUUGUUUUGGCUUAAGAGGAUAAGUUGUUGUAUAUACUGUCAUAAAGUUCAGCAAGAACAGGGCAUCAACAGUGCUACUCUAGUAUCUAGUUGGGGAGGGACAAAUGGACAGGGCAUCACUGUAGCUGUACUACCGCACAACAAACUAUUAGUCUUAGGAUUAACACUCCUCAUAUGAGAUGAGAGGAUUUUUUUUAAAUGGCUUCUUGCAGUUUUGAAAAUUCAGUUUAUUCGGUUACUGAAAAUUCAGUUAAUUCAGUUAGGCACACAAAUUUCAGAACUUUUGUGUGCCCUAGUACUUGGUGUUUGUAGAAAACCAGGAGUGUCAAUGUGACUAGAAUUCACUUGUUCUUAUAUGGGUGAAACUUCACUUGUUUUUAGGCUAGUGCAGGGUGUUGCUUUAUUCUGUCAUCAUUUGUAACUAUGUCAUAAAUAAAUUGUUCCUUCUUCUGUAUUUGACAAGUAAUGACUGUUGAUAAGCUGAGGCAUGGAUUAAGCUGUUUCUUUGCUGUAACAUACUGUAUAUCACUCCACAAUGAAAUACAGUACAUAUUGAUGUCCUUUGUAAAACUUGUUCAUGUACUGAACUACUAAUGCCUUGUGAUGCUCUGAAUUACUUGUGAUGCCUCUGAAUUACUUGUGAUCCCAUUGAGAAAGACUUGUAAAGAUGAUGAUCAUCUUUUACAGAAAACAAUUUCUGUAAACACGUCAGUAACUUUGCUAGUUUGCUGGGUUUUGUCUCCGACCAUCGUGUCGUGAUGAUUUUGCAGGUACCCCGAGAGGCCCUUGAGUUUGCUGGAAUGUCGAUUAACUUCCGUUCCGGCAAAUUCGGGUACUCCAUAUGUCCUAUUUUCAGCAAAGGUCAUGCUGAAAUUUUCCGUGAAUUUUAGCAUGACUUUGCUAAAAAUAGGACAUAUGGGGUACUUGUGACUAAUGCAUGGGCCGGGGUCUUAGUACUUAAUUAAGUAGGAUCACCUGCCCUUUUAUUCUUGUUGCAUUAAACCACAGGUGGCAAUAGAGCCAAGUGAUUAGGCCCAACUUAGAAUUCUCCUUCCCAGCUUAGCUUUUAGGGUGACUCGGUGUCGAUGAGAACCUAAAUGAUGUACGCUUAGGCUUUUAGGGUCCCUCGGCGUCGACAAACCCUAAAUGAUAAAAGCUUAGCUUUUAGGAUGCCUCGGUGUCGACAAACCCUAAAUGAUGAGACCAUGAUCUUGUUCCUUGAGAAUAACCAACUUUUUGACCAAACUUUUUUCCUAUUUAGAGCGAAACAUGGCCCACAACGAUGAGGCCGGCGGUUCGGGCGGCAAGCAAUUCUGGGAGUUGUCCCAGGAGCUGGAGGAAGACCCUCACCGCUACGAGGACACCGCGGAAGACACCGAUCCUGACUACACAACCCCUAGUGGCGUCGGGGAUGACACCACUGAUGGUGCCGCCGAGGAUGCCACCACUGAUGAUGGCGGCGCACGCACAGAUGGCAGCCAACCGAAGAGGCAACGGAAGGACCGGCUCCCGAGCGUCCUCGGCACCGUCAAGGAGGAAUUUACUGAAGUGAACUCUGACGGGCAUCCAACGGCGCCCAAACAAGUAGUCAAGGGGUACUCGGUUCAGCUCGGAUGCAUUCUCCGGAGCACCGUCUCGAUCAACACCGAGAACCUAAGGCAUAAGGACCGAGGGAAUUUGCGCAGCCUCCUCUUCACGAAGCUACACGAACGAUACAAGUUCCCCGCUGACUUUGCAAACACACGCCUCUCAGGGAAUAAAGUGAACAGUGCCGCCCUCACGAGGAUGAGCACGGCCAUGUCUACUUGGAGAAGCACGGUGAAGGCGAUGAUUGAAAAAGGUGAUAGUUAUGAGAAGAUCAAGGCGAAAUAUCCUUUGAUCAGCGAAGAUGACUACAAGGAGUUCAAGAUCAAGUGCGAGAGCAGCGCAACCUCCGAAUCAAGUCAGUGGGGGAAAGAAAUGCGGCAGUUGAACUUAGGGGUCCACCAACUCGGUCCCGGCGGUUACAGAGUGGCGGAGCCUAUAUGGGACAAGGAGGACGCGGAGCGUGCCGAGCAAGGCCUACCGCCCCGCUUCGACAAAUUCCGUGACAAGCAGACCAGGAACUUUGUCAGGGCCCGGUACAAGGAGGACCCGGUAACAAAGGACCUUACCACGGAUCCGAAAACCAGGGCGCUUGAGCUUGUUCUGGUAAGGAAUACACCCCCGCGUAAUUAGCUCCAUAUGGUUGCAUUCUAAUUAAUGAAGCCAAAUUUCUAAAUGGUUCACAUUCCUUCCGCAGGAGGCUGACAGCAGUAGUGCGGGGUCGUCUCAGAGUUCCCCUUUUGACACCCCUUUAAAUAGGGCGUUGAACAUAAUGAAAAACAAGGAUAAGCUCAGUAAGCCGUCGUCAGCUGGUCGUGUGGCCGGCAAAGGCUUGUCCACAAAAUGGUCGUCAUACUAUACCGCUGGUGGGCGAAAGGAGAAAAAGACCAGCUCAGAAAGCCAGUUGCACGAGGUUCAAGAACUCAAGGCACAAGUGGCACGGAUUCCGGAGAUUGUCCAAGAGCAAGUGCAACAACAACUGGGAACGACGCUCACCGCCAUGGUGCCUACCUUGAUUCAGGGGCUGACGACGUGGAUUGCGGGCGGCCAACAGGGGCCUCCCCCGGUUCCCAGCUUCACGGCCAGCAACUCGCACAACGCGCAGACGGCACCAUUGGUGUCUCCGGUGGAGGCGGUAUUCGUGUCUCCGGCGCCGGCACGGGCAUUGGAGCUUAAUGCACCCGGGUGUACGCCAGCCGGCACCUCGCCAGCAAGUGGCCCCUCCGUCAGUUGCACGCCCGCCGUUGGCGGUGCCUCGACAUUAGCCGAGCUCGACGGCAUCACGGUAACUAAGCCUCUCGGCCGAUGACUUCAUCUCCUUGCCUUUGACUGGGCAUCCCUGACGCCCUACAUGUUUUUGCAGGGCGCCGCCGACGUUCCUUGCACUCUCCUGCACUUCGUGGGCGGCGAGUUGGUCGAUGUUGCCAAGGGCAGAAUCGUUCAACCAGGCAACCGCGUGUUCCACGGUAAUCCGAUGCCACCCACCUUGUAUAGGGUUGAACUGGUUCGGGUGCUGCCAGGCUGCGACGAGUUGUUACCUCCGAUUCGACCCGUUGGGCCGACGAAGAUGAUGUGAUGACCCUUAGCGCCUGCGUAAGCUGGCCCCUGCUGUGGCCGAAGAGCCAGAUUCGUUUGGGGGCGGGGGACACCACCCCACAGACAAGACCGCCAGUCGUGCCCGCGCCAAGCCAUGGCAAGAACGCCACAACGCUACCGGACAUGCCGGACAUCCCUAUGGCACAGGAUCCGGACGACGACGACAAUGACAACGGUACAUUUUCCAAUGUCGAGAAGUACUUUGCCGAACAUGGGUACGGUGACGAGUUUUGCGGGCCUCCUUCUCAAGAACCCAACCCUGAAAAAGACGACCGCGAUCUAGCUGGUACGGCGGAGAAACCCAAUUGCAACAGGCGUCGUCUGGCGUUCAGUUCUCAGGAGACGCCUCCAGCUGCCGCCUUCACCGAGCCUCAGAUAGCUGAGGUGCGAAAUAUUAUCAGCCCCAACACGCUCAAGAAGGCGGUUUGUGAGCAGAACUCGAUCCCAUUACAGCAGAUCAGGAAGAAGGGACGGAAACGAAAGACUAACAAGGGCGCCGGUGCGAGCCAGCCGGCACCGAGUACGAUCCGUGCUCAGGACGGCCACCUUCACCUAAGAAUAUCUCGAGGAGGGUGCAUGUGGCGGGUAGGGCGAUGCUACCGACAAAUAUGCUCAAUAAUGCAACCGGUGCUAUGCGGAGUCUGCAUGACAGUGUUCUUUCUUUGGAGAAGCGGUGUCUCAGAGAGAAUGAUGUGGCAUACCCGGUUUUCGUGGCCAAGGUGCCAGAGGGCAAGGGCUUUGUGGAUAGCGCCGUCGAGGGUACGAUCGUCCUGCGGUUUGAUGACAUCUUUGCUAUGUUUAACCUUCAUCCGCUGCACUACACCUUCGUUCGGCUGUUUUCGCUGAGUAUGGAGAUGCGGAUCAUUAGAGACAAGACCCCGGACAUUGUGAUAGUCGACCCCUUCUACAUGCGUGCCAAGAUCUUGGCCAGCGCUGGGGACUGGCAAGUCGCGAGUUCACACCUCGAAGGCGUCAUUCUGGCAAACCCAGAUAAGGAUAACUUCCUCGUGCCUUACUUUCCCGAGUAAGUCAUCCCCUAACCGCCCCGUAACAUAUGAUUUCUUAGAUUUCGAUCGUUUUUUUGUCUCUAACAUUCUGUGUUCUGUGCAGUGACACACAUUGCACACUCAUCCUCUUAAGCCCGAAAUAUUCCAUGGCCACGUAUUUCGACCCGAACCGUGACUCCAAGAUAGACUACACAAAUAUCAAGAAAGUUCUUAAUGAUGCUCUCCCCGGCUACGCCGCAUCUGGAGGCACCUUUAAGAGGCCAGCUCGUAGGUAUGGCAGGCACGUGUUCACCCACAAUACGACGUUCCCCUGUGUCAAGCAGCCGCCUGGCGCUCAGAAGGAUGCCUACUACGCCCUCCAUCACAUGCGGGCGAUCGUACGGGACCAUAAUCACCUUCUGCUACCAAAUAAUCUCAAAGAUUGGGCCGCAAGCUUGGCGGCAAUCCAGGACACGGACAUCCGACAAGAAUUCUUUCGCAUCCAGUUGGAGUUUGCAGAAAUCAUCCAUGAAGAUGUCCUUCGUACCUCGGGGCAGUUCUACCUCAAAUAUCAACCGUCCAACAGUGAGAUAGACCCAACGCUACAAAUGCAGGCUGACAACGCCCGCGACUUCAUGACCAUCACGACAGACGGCGGCUUCAUCCACGCUCCGGUCCCAUGAGUCGAGUCGAAAGUAGUGAUGCUAUGUGUAGUUCUGAAACAUCGAUUAGCUCAUGUUGUAAUUAAACUUUAAUGAACUUGUAUGUCUCUUUGGUUUGGACAGUCAUUCAACUUAGAUGUAAUCGAUGCUAUUUAUUAGUAGGACCAUGAAUCGUGCUAUUAAUGUCUUGCUUUUCUCUUCCGAUCCUUUUGUUGCAUACUUAUAUAUUGCUUAUGUAUUGUCUGUUGUUUGGCUAGUGCAUAGAGAUGCCGUCGUAUGUCGUGUACAAGGGUAAGGUUCCCGGAGUCUACGACGACUGGGAGGAGUGUCGGAGACAGGUUCACCAUUUCAGCGGUAACAGUUACAAAGGGUACACCACUAGGACGGAGGCGGAAUCUAGAUACGCGCGCUAUCUAGCGGGGGAGAGGAGGGAGCGUUGGAGGAACCGGAUGAAGACCAGUUUCAUCGCGAUGAUGCUCAUCGUGAUGACCGCAGCUCUCUUCUAUGUGAUGGUAGUUUAGAUGAUCGAUAUCGACUUGUAAUGUGAAGACAAACUCGCUACUCGCGGUCUCGAGACUUAUAAUGUUCUAUCUUUGUUCGGUCUUUUGAAUUCGGAGACUAAUAUGAUGAAUGGUAUUCGGAGACUAAUAUUCUAUUGUAUUCAAUGAAUCUGCUAUUGAUGUGUGGUGCUGUCUAUAUUCCGUCCAAUAAUAUAUUUUGUAAUCUGUGCAAAUAUCAGAAAAGAAAAAAAUCCCUAAUAUACAUACUAAUGGCGCAUCACCCCAACGUGCGCCAUUAGUAUGCCAAAGGAUACUAAUGGCGCAUCACCCCACAGUGCACCAUUAGUAUGGCAAAGCACAUGUGUAAAUAUCGCCCCCUGGGAGGCACACUAAUGGCGCAUGUUGGUCUAUACUAAUGGUGCACGGCGUGAUGCGUCAUUAGUAUACCAGAUACUAAUGGCGCACCAGUGGUGCGCCAUUAGUAUUUAAUACUAGUGGCAUGGUACUAGUGCGCCAUUAGUAGGCAAAACUGGUGCGCCACUAGUAGGCCUUUUCCUAGUAGUGGCGGCUAGAGUUUCUGUAAGCCUAUGUGUUGUCGUGCCCCGGCCCUUCCGUAUUCGGUCUUCCUGCCACGCGUGCUUUGUUGCUUGUGUUGGAUCGAAUGUGGAAGCACCACAAACUAAUUGAGUUGAAUCGUGAGCCUCACAAUUCCCUUUCUCCUUGAUAUUUUUAUGCCCGACGGGAGGACUAUCCAUGACAGGGAGCAAUAGAGCCCACAUGUACAUUUAACGCUUUCUUCAUGACUUAGGCCUACUGGAUGAAGAGAAGAAUCUGGCCUAGCACCCGCAACCGAUAAUGAGUCACCUAUAUAUGAUGGAUCCUGCGACCUGCGGGGAUGGUUACAUUGAAUGUGGACGCCGCAAAGGAAAGAUGUGGUGGUGUCAAUUCAGUCUUAGCGAUUUGCAGGCUUCCAGAUGGUGCUUUCAUGGGUGCAUCAAAUAUGACCUUCUCUGGGUACUCUGACCCUGCAAUGUUAUGGUGUGUAGAGAAGCUCUUGUGCUUGCUGAGGACCUUGGCAAACGCAACACUACUAGGAAAAGGCCUACUAGUGGCGCACUAGUUGUGCCUACUAAUGGCGCACUACUGGUGCGCCACUAGUAUCACGCCACUAGUAUUAAAUACUAAUGGCGCAUCACUGGUGCGCCAUUAGUAUCUGGUAUACUAAUGGCGCAUCACGUCGUGCGCCAUUAGUAUAGACCAACAUGCGCCAUUAGUGUGCCUCCCAGGGGGCGAUAUUUACACAUGUGCUUUGCCAUACUAAUGGCGCACUGUGGGGUGAUGCGCCAUUAGUAUCCUUUGGCAUACUAAUGGCGCACGUUGGGGCGAUGCGCCAUUAGUAUGUAUAUUAGGGAUUUUUUCUUUUCUGAUAUUUGCACAGAUUACAAAAUAUAUUAUUGGACAGAAUAUAGACAGCACCACACAGCAACAGCAGAUUCAUCGAAUACAAUAGAAGAUUAGUCUCCGAAUACAAUUCAUCAUAUUAGUCUCCGAAUUCAAAAGACCGAACAAAUAUAGAACAUUACAAGUCUCGAGACCGCGAGUAGCGAGUUUGUCUUCACAUUACAAGUCGAUAUCGAUCAUCUAAACUACCAUCACAUAGAAGAGAGCUGCGGUCAUCACGCUGAGCAUCAUCGCGAUGAAACUGGUCUUCAUCCGGUUCCUCCAACGCUCCCUCCUCUCUCCCGCUAGAUAGCGCGCGUAUCUAGAUUCCGCCUCCGCCCUAGUGGUGUACCCUUUGUAACUGUUACCGCUGAAACGGUGAACCUGUCUCCGACACUCCUCCCAGUCGUCGUAGACUCCGGAAACCUUACCCUUGUACACGACAUACGACGGCAUCUCUAUGCACUAGCCAAACAAUAGACAAUACAUAAGCAAUAUAUAAGUAUGCAACAAAAGGAUCGGAAGAGAAAAGCAAGACAUUAAUAGCAUGAUUCAUGGUCCUACUAAUAAAUAGCAUCGAUUACAUCUAAGUUGAACGACUGUCCAAACCAAAGAGACAUACAAGUUCAUUAAAGUUUAAUUACAACAUGAGCUAAUCGAUGUUUCAGAACUACACAUAGCAUCACUACUUUCGACUCGACUCAUGGGACCGGAGCGUGGAUGAAGCCGCCGUCUGUCGUGAUGGUCAUGAAGUCGCGGGCGUUGCCAGCCUGCAUUUGUAGCGUUGUGUCUAUCUCACUGUUGGACGGUUGAUAUUUGAGGUAGAACUGCCCCGAGGUACGAAGGACAUCUUGAUGGAUGAUUUCUGCAAACUCCGACUGGAUGCGAAAGAAUUCUUGUCGGAUGUCCGCGUCCUGGAUUGCUGCCAAGCUUGCGGCCCAAUCUUUGAGAUUAUUUGGUAGCAGAAGGUGAUUAUGGUCCCGUAUGAUCGCCCGCAUGUGAUGGAGGGCGUAGUAGGCAUCCUUCUGAGCGCCAGGCGGCUGCUUGACGCAGGGGAACGUCGUAUUGUGGGUGAACACGUGCCUGCCGUACCUACGAGCUGGCCUCUUAAAGGUGCCUCCAGAUGCGGCGUAGCCGGGGAGAGCAUCAUCAAGAACUUUCUUGAUAUUUGUGUAGUCUAUCUUGGAGUCAUGGUCCGGGUCGAAAUACGCGGCCAUGGAAUAUUUCGGGCUUAAGAGGAUGAGUGUGCAAUGUGUGUCACUGCACAGAACACGGAAUGUUAGAGAAAAAAAGAACGAUCGAAAUCUAAGAAAUCAUAUGUUACGGGGCGGUUAGGGGAUGACUUACUCGGGAAAGUAAGGCACGAGGAAGUUAUCCUUAUCUGGGUUUGCCAGAAUGACGCCUUCGAGGUGUGAACUCGCGACUUGCCGGUCCCCAGCGCUGCCCAAGAUCUUGGCACGCAUGUAGAAGGGGUCGACUAUCACAAUGUCCGGGGUCUUGUCUCUAAUGAUCCGCAUCUCCAUACUCAGCGAAAACAGCCGAACGAAGGUGUAGUGCAGUGGAUGAAGGUUAAACAUAGCAAAGAUGUCAUCAAACCAUAGGACGAUCGUACCCCCGACGGCGCUAUCCACAAAGCCCUUGCCCUCUGGCACCUUGGCCACGAAAACUGGGUAUGCCACAUCAUUCUCUCUGAGACGCCGCUUCUCCAAAGAAAGAACACUGUCAUGCAGACUCCGCAUAGCACCGGUUGCAGCAUUGAGCAUAUUUGUCGGUAGCAUCGCCCUACCCGCCACAUGCACCCUCCUCGAGAUAUCCUUAGGUGAAGGUGGCCCGUCCUGAGCACGGAUCGUACUCGGUGCCGGCUGGCUCGCACCGGCGCCCUUGUUAGUCUUUCGUUUCCGUCCCUUCUUCCUGAUCUGCUGUAAUGGGAUCGAGUUCAGCUCACAGACCGCCUUCUUGAGCGUGUUGGGGCUGAUAAUAUUUUGCACCUCAGCUAUCUGAGGCUCGGUGAAGGCGGCAGCUGGAGGCGUCUCCUGAGAACUGAACGCCAGACGACGCCUGUUGCAAUUGGGUUUCUCCACCGUACCAGCUAGAUCGCGGUCGUCUUUUUCAGGGUUGGGUUCUUGAGAAGGAGGCCCGCAAAACUCGUCACCGUACCCAUGUUCGGCAAAGUACUUAUCGACGUUGGAAAAUGUACCGUUGUCGUUGUCGUCGUCGUCCGGAUCCUGUGCCAUAUGCAUGUUCGGAUCCUGUGCCAUAGGGAUGUCCGGCAUGUCCAGUAGCGUUGCGGCGUUCUUGCCAUGGCUUGGCGCUGGCACGACUGGCGGUCUUGUUUGUGGGGUGGUGUCCCCCGCCCCCAAACGAAUCUGGCUCUUCGGCCAAAGCAGGGGCCAGCUUAUGCAGGCGCUAAGGGUCAUCACAUCAUCUUCGUCGGCCCCAGCGUGUCGAAUCGGAGGUAACAACUCGUUGCAGCCUGGCAACACCCGAACCAGUUCAACCCUAUACAAGGUGGGUGGCAUCGGAUUACCGUGGAACACGCGGUUGCCUGGUUGAACGAUUCUGCCCUUGGCGACAUCGACCAACUCGCCGCCCACGAAGUGCAGGAGAGUGCAAGGAACGUCGGCGGCGCCCUGCGAAAACAUGUAGGGCGUCAGGGAUGCCCAGUUAAAGGCAAGGAGAUGAAGUCAUCGGCCGAGAGGCUUAGUUACCGUGAUGCCGUCGAGCUCGGCUAAUGUCGAGGCACCGCCAACGGCAGGCGUGCAACUGACGGAGGGGCCACUUGCUGGCGAGGUGUCGGCCGGCGUACACCCGGGUGCAUUAAGCUCCAAUGCCCGUGCCGGCGCCGGAGACACGAAUACCGCCUCCGCCGGAGACACCAAUGGCGCCGUCUGCGCGUUGUGCGAGUUGCUGGCCGUGAAGCUGGGAACCGGGGGAGACCCCUGUUGGCCGCCCGCAAUCCACGUCGUCAGCCCCUGAAUCAAGGUAGGCACCAUGGCGGUGAGCGUCGUUCCCAGUUGUUGUUGCACUUGCUCUUGGACAAUCAUCGGAAUCCGCGCCACUUGUGCCUUGAGUUCUUGAACCUCGCGCGACUGGCUUUCCGAGCUGGUCUUUUUCUCCUUUCGCCCACCAGCGGUAUAGUAUGACGACCAUUUUGUGGACAAGCCUUUGCCGGCCACACGACCAGCUGACGACGGCUUACUGAGCUUAUCCUUGUUUUUCAUUACGUUCAACGCCCUAUUUAAAGGGGUGUCAAAAGGGGAGCUCUGAGACGACCCCGCGCUACUGCUUUCAGCCUCCUGCGGAAGGAAUGUGAACCAUUUAGAAAUUUGGCUUCAUUAAUUAGAAUGCAACCAUAUGGAGCUAAUUACGCGGGGGUGUAUUCCUUACCAGAACAAGCUCAAGCGCCCUGGUCUUCGGAUCCGUGGUAAGCUCCUUUGUUACCGGGUCCUCCUUGUACCAGGCCCUGACAAAGUUCCUGGUCUGCUUGUCACAGAAUUUCUCGAAGUGGGGCGGUAGGCCUUGCUCGGCACGCUCCGCGUCCUCCUUGUCCCAUAUAGGCUCCGCCACUCUGUAACCGCCGGGACCGAGUUGGUGGACCCCUAAGUUCAACUGCCGCAUUUCUUUCCCCCACUGACUUGAUUCGGAGGUUGCGCUGCUCUCGCACUUGAUCUUGAACUCCUUGUAGUCAUCUUCGCUGAUCAAAGGAUAUUUCUCCUUGAUCUUCUCAUAACUAUCACCUUUUUCAAUCAUUGCCUUCACCGUGCUUCUCCAAGUAGACAGGGCCGUGCUCAUCCUCGUGAGGGCGGCACUAUUCACUUUAUUCCCUGAGAGGCGUGUGUUUGCAAAGUCAGCGGGGAACUUGUAUCGUUCGUGCAGCUUCGUGAAGAGGAGGCUGCGCAAAUUCCCUCGGUCCUUAUGCCUUAGGUUCUCGGUGUUGAUCGAGACGGUGCUCCGGAGAAUGCACCCGAGCUGAACCGAGUACCCCUUGACUACUUGUUUGGGCGCCAUUGGAUGCCCGUCGGAGUUCACUUCAGCAAAUUCCUCCUUGACGGUGCCGAGCACGCUUAGGCGCCGGUCCUUCCGUUGCCUCUUCGGUUGGCUGCCAUCUGUGCGUGCGCCACCAUCAUCAGUGGUGGCAUCCUCGGCGGCACCAUCAGUGGUGUCAUCCCCGACGCCACUAGGGGUUGUGUAGUCAGGAUCGGUGUCUUCCGCGGCGUCCUUGUAGCGGUGAGGGUCUUCCUCCAGCUCUUGGGACAACUCCCAGAAUUGCUUGCCGCCCGAACCGCCAGCCUCAUUGUUGUGGGCCAUGUUUCGCUCUAAAUAGGAAAAAAGUUUGGUCAAAAAGUUGGUUAUUGUCAAGGAACAAGAUCAUGGUCUCAUCAUUUAGGGUUUGUCGACACCGAGGCAUCCUAAAAGCUAAGCUUUUAUCAUUUAGGGUUUGUCGACGCCGAGGCACCCUAAAAGCCUAAGCGUACAUCAUUUAGGUUCUCAUCGACACCGAGGCACCCUAAAAGCUAAGCUGGGAAGGAGAAUUCUAAGUUGGGCCUAAUCAUUUGGCUCUAUUGCCACCUAUGGUUUAAUGCAACAAGAAUAAAGGGGCAGGUGACCCUACUUAAUUAAUUACUAAGACCCCGGCCCAUGCAUUAGUCACAAGUACCCCAUAUGUCCUAUUUUUAGCAAAGUCAUGCUAAAAUUCACGGAAAAUUUUAGCAUGACAUUUGCUAAAAAUAGGACAUAUGGAGUACCCGAAUUUGCCAGAACGGAAGUUAAUCGACAUUCCAGCAAACUCAAGGGCCUCUCGGGGUACCUGCAAAAUCAUCACGACACGAUGGUCGGAGACAAAACCCAGCAAACUAGCAAAGUUACUGACGUGUUUACAGAAAUUGUUUUCUGUAAAAGAUGAUCAUCAUCUUUACAAGUCUUUCUCAAUGGGAUCACAAGUAAUUCAGAGGCAUCACAAGUAAUUCAGAGCAUCACAAGGCAUUAGUAGUUCAGUACAUGAACAAGUUUUACAAAGCACAUCAAUAUGUACUGUAUUUCAUUGUGGAGUGAUAUACAGUAUGUUACAGCAAAGAAACAGCUUAAUCCAUGCCUCAGCUUAUCAACAGUCAUUACUUGUCAAAUACAGAAGAAGGAACAAUUUAUUUGUGACAUAGUUACAAAUGAUGACAGAAUAAAGCAACACCCUGCACUAGCCUAAAAACAAGUGAAGUUUCACCCAUAUAAGAACAAGUGAAUUCUAGUCACAUUGACACUCCUGGUUUUCUACAAACACCAAGUACUAGGGCACACAAAAGUUCUGAAAUUUGUGUGCCUAACUGAAUUAACUGAAUUUUUAGUAACCGAAUAAACUGAAUUUUCAAAACUGCAAGAAGCCAUUUAAAAAAAAUCCUCUCAUCUCAUAUGAGGAGUGUUAAUCCUAAGACUAAUAGUUUGUUGUGCGGUACAGCUACAGUGAUGCCCUGUCCAUUUGUCCCUCCCCAACUAGAUACUAGAGUAGCACUGUUGAUGCCCUGUUCUUGCUGAACUUUAUGACAGUAUAUACAACAACUUAUCCUCUUAAGCCAAAACAACUUUGUAAAAGCCAGAUGCAACUUGUUGAGCUAAUUUUGUGCAGAACUCCUUGAGGAACUAACAUCAAGGAGUGGCUAGAACUACAAACAGUGGCUAGAGUGACUAUCAUUUGUAUUCUUGUUGCUAAAACUUGCCAAGUUUGUGUCUAGUUAAGGAGUAUGUAAGUUUGUAUUCUCUUCUCUUCUCUGAAUGCACUCCUCUCUCCACAAAUUCAGAAUCAACACAAAUCCAGAUUGAUAUGCUACUGCGUCUGGCUGCCAAAAUCCGCCAUCACCAAGUCUACAGAGACUGGCGUUGAACCUAAGUGAGCUCAUUUUUUUCCCAUGACCAAGAGGCCAAAUAAACAGACGCUUAGCCAAGCUCCCAAACAGAUGCUUAUUUUCUCAAGAGAAAGACAAAACACUGCAGCAUUCAAAUUCAAAAUAAACAAAUAAAUGUACAUAUGCUACAAAUUAAUAUUUAUGUUUGCCUCAAAAAAACUGUAACACGCUCUUCAGCUAAAUAAAACAAGAAACUUAUAUGGACCAUAAAAACACGCACCCAGCAAAAUUAAAAGGUUGGCUAUGUAUGAUGAACAUGAUGAAACAAAAUUAGGAGGUUGAGUAUGUAUGAUGAACAUGAUGAAACAAAAUCAAUGGUCCUAGGUUGUGCUAAGCUACCACCACAAACUAAACAAUGCCAGAACAAAACAUAAAAGACAGUAUCCAUCCCUCCACUACUUCUGUAAUUACACCUCAGUGACAAACUACCCUCACCCGGCAAGAAAGCUCGUCCUAAAUGGGCAGAAGAGGUAAAUUAUCUCUAGUUCCAAUCUGCACCAAAGUAGGAACCCAAUCUAACAAUCAUCAGUUACAAAAAGGGCAACAAUGUAUAGGUAGCACAGCCUGCACAUGUCAAAUCUUGUUGCUAAAUCUUGCUAAAACUUGCCAAGUUUAUUGCUUACUAAGGUACUGAACUGAUCAGAACUUUAGAACAGUGAGCUUUACAUACUAAUUUCAGAGGGAUUUGAACCUAAUUUGACCUAAAUUCGAGAGGGAUUUGACCUAAACCUAGCAAAAGAGAGAAGAAGAGGGCAUGGCCGGGAGGGAGGAGAGGAGGAAGAGAGGCAGAGGGAGGAGGGCAAUGAAGAUUACCUGACCACGAUGAGGUGGUGGCCGGAGCGGAGACGACAGAGGGCGGAGACGGCGAGCUUGGGGGAGGCGGGGAUAGACGGCGGGGAGGUCGCGAGGUGCUCGGGCCUCCUCUCCUGGUGGACGCGGGGGCGUCGUCGGGGACGAAGACGUCGACGCUGUGGAUGUUGCCGCCGCGGGAGGCGAUGCAGUCGGAGAUCCGGGACGGUGAACUGCGCACGGAGGCCAGGGGAGUCAGUCAGGGGGAGGGGGGCUUAUGGGUGGAGGAGGAGGGGGGCUUACGGGCGGCGGUUUAGUAGGGGUGGCGGCGCAGUAGGGGCGGCGGCGUAGUGGGUCGGGCAGUGGGUCGGAGAGAUGUGAGAUUGGGAGAGAAGGACGAACGCAAGAUGGACAACACACACAAGGGUGAAGGUUAGUAAUGGCGCACCAUCUAGGGGUGCGCCAUUAGUAACUUUUUUUCUGAUAGCAAUGGCGCACCCCCCUCUGGUGCGCCAUUAGUAAUUUUUUUUUCUGAUAGCAAUGGCGCACCCUCCUCACGACAACAUGACUGGGCUUUGACGGGUCGGUAAUGAAGAAGCAUUGGUCCACUUGGGAAGCCAGUACCCAUGGCUCAUUUUUCGCGGUGACGUUCGCGCCUGCGGUCUUGGAUUUGGCUUCGGGUAUAACCAUGGUGGUGAAAUACCGGUCUUCUUUUAUGAUGCUCUUGGCCCAUCUGACACGGAACAUCGGGACCUUCUCUCCAGCGUAGCUCAGCUCCCAGAUCUCCUCGAUCCUUCCGUAGUAUCUGUCCUUGUCGUUACCGGUGUAGGAUUCCAUCGUUACCCCAGAGUUCUGAUAACCAUCGCUCUUCAUGUCCUUGUCCUCGGUGUAGAAUGUGUAGCCGUUGAUAUCGUACGCCUCAUAUGUCAUCAGGUUGUGCUCGGCGCCCUGUGACAAGGCGAAUAUGAGUUGUUCUUCCGUGGAAGAAUCCUCAUGUAAAGGGUACGACAGAAGCUUCUGCUUGAACCAACGCGUGAAACAUGAGUUGUGCUCUUUGAUUAUAUCUCCGUCCGUCCUCUGUUGGCCUCGGUCAUUGUACGUGUUCUCAAUAAAGGUUUUGUGCUCUACCACCCAAGGAUCGACCACGUCUAUGUGUUGUAGCGUGACUAGGUUUGCUCUUUCAAAGUCGGCGAGUCGACCCUCGAAGUCGACAUGCAUUUCGCGGCGACCCUCAUGGUGACCCCAUCCAGCGAGCCUGCCAAGGUGCCUGUUGACGGGCAGACCAACGGGGUUCUCGAUGCCUAGAUAAUUCGUGCAGUAGGAGAUGCACUCUUCGGUCAGAAAGCCCCUGGCUAUGCUUCCCUCUGGACGUGACAUGUUGCGAACGUGUCCUUUGAUGACACCAUUCAUCCUUUCGAAUGGCAUCAUGUUGUGCAGGAACGUCGGCCCGAGUUGGAUGAUAUCCUCCACGAUAUGGACCAGCAGAUGCACCAUAACGUCGAAGAAUGCGGGCGGGAAGUACAUCUCAAGCUCGCAUAGUAUCACCACGAUCUCUUCCUCUAGCCUUCUGAGUUGCCUCACGCCAACCGACUUCCGAGAGAUGACGUCGAAAAAGUUGCAUAGGCCAAAUAGCGUUUCACGGACGUGCGCGUCCAUGAUCCCACGGAUUGCAACUGGAAGUAUCUGCGUCAUCAGCACGUGACAUUCGUGAGACUUCAUCCCGCUAAACUUCUGCUUCGCUGAGUCUAGGUAUCUGCUUAUCUUCCCCUCAUAACCGUAAGGAAGUUUUACUCCUACGAGGCAGGUGAAAAACUGAUCGAUCUCCUCCUAACUUAGAGUGAAGCACGCGGGAGGGAAGUCAUUUCCGGUCUUCUUGGCCUUUUUGCCUUUGCGACGACUUUCCGUGUCCUGCUUCGCUUCAUCAUCAUCAUUAGCGUGAAGCUCCUCCCUGAUGCCCAUUGAUUUCAAGUCUGCCCUUGCUUUCGGCCCAUCUUUGGUCCUCUCUGGCAUGUUGAGCAGGGUACCAAGCAGACUCUCGCACACGUUCUUCGUGAUAUGCAUGACAUCAAGGCUGUGAGGCACACGGUGGAUCUUCCAGUACGGCAAGUCCCAGAAAACAGACCUCGUUUUCCAUACCUUCAGCGGCGGCUCUGGCGCCUUUCGCUUCUUUCCCGGCAGUGGGCAAUCUUUCCAAUUUUUCAACAGCUCGUCUAUUUCCUCGCCGCUCCUCGUACGCAGGCGUCUUCGGGGUUCGGUUUCACCAUCGAACAGAUCCUUGCAUUUCCUCCACGGGUCAUCGUCGCGAAGCCACCUUUGAUGUCCCAUGAACACGGUUUUCGAAGACCCGGGAUCCCUAUCUAGCUGGCGAUACGUUGUGUCAUCCAUGCACCUGACGCAUCCAAAAAUCCGUGGACCACCUGCCCCGCGAGAUAUCCGUAACCGAGAUAGUCGUGCACCGUCGUGAGCAGUGCGGCUCUCAUAGGGAAAUAUUCUUUCUCUGCGGCGUCCCACGUAUUGGCUAGCGUUUUCCAUAGCGUGUCUAGCUCCUCUUUCAGCAGCCCCAGAUACAGAUUGAUGUCGUUCCCUGGUUGUUUCGGCCCUUCAAUUAGCAUACUCAUGUGAAUGUACUUCAUCUUCAUGCACAACCAGGGGGAAGGUUGUACAUCCACACAAACACAGGCCAUGUGCUAUGUGUGCUUCUCUGGCUGCCAAACGGAUUGACUCCAUCGGUGCUCGCGCCCAGCACGAUGUUCCUUGGAUCCUUCCCAAAUUCUGGGUGUUCAAAGUUCAACGCUUGCCAAUGGCUCCCAUCCUUAGGGUGACUCAGCAUCUUGUCUUUUUUAUUUAUCUCCGGAUCAUUUGCGUCAUCUUCUCGCUUCUUCUCCUCCCUAUCCGCGUGCCAACGCAGGAGCUUUGCUACCUUAGGGUCCACGAAAUACUGCUGCAGACGAGGAGUGAUCGGAAAGUACCACACCACUUUUCGAGGAGCUUUCUUCCUCUUCUUGUAUCGAGUGACGCCGCACACCGGACAUAUGGUAGACUCCGCGUGCUCGUCCCGAUAAAUGAUGCAAUUGUUCAUGCACACAUGGUAUUUCACGUGCGGUAAAUCCAGAGGACACACGAUUUUCUUCGCCUCCUCGAAACUGGUCGGGCACUUGUUCCCCUUGGGAAGACGUUCGUGCCAGAAUGAUAUGUUCUCGUCGAAGCAUGCGUCGGUCAUUUUGUGUUUUACCUUCAUCUCCAGAGCCAUGAGCGUUACUUUCAGGCGGGUAUCCUCGGGCCUGCAUCCUUCAUACAAUGGAGUAACCGCGUCUAUCUCCAGUUGAUCCAGCUUGGCUUUCUCUCGGGCGGCAGCUCUUGCGUUAUCCGUCUGCUUGAGAAGCAGCUCUUGAAUAUGAGGGUCCUGCACCCAGCCCAUCGAUGGUCCAUCGUCGUCUGCUCCGCGGCAUCUUCAUUUUCAUGAUCAUGGCCUUCGUCUGCUCCGGCAUCUUCCUCAUCAUCAUGUCCGGCAUCUUCUACAUGAUGACUGUGUACAGCAUCACCGUCGUGAUCAUGUCCUGGAGAUUCUUCGUCUUCUCGCCCGCCCGAGCCGCGGUGGUUGUCUUGCUGCCCUUCCUCAUUUCUUGCCCGACCCCCAUGGACGACUUCAUAGUCAUCUUCAUCACCUUGCCACCGAUAGCCAUCCAUGAAACCACGCAAGAGCAGGUGGUCCCGCACCUGCCCGGAAUCCGAGUCCGCAAUAAGGCUCUUCAGCUUGCAUCUUCGACACGGGCAUCUUAUCUCCGUCUCGUUCUUUUGAAGCAUCUCGGCCUUCGCGGAGCUCAAAAACCUAUUCACGAUGCCUUCGGUCAUCGUGCGGACCAUGGUCGCCUGCGGGGUAGAGCAAAACGAUAUUUUAGAACCAAGAAAAAAUUUGACAUGACUUUUCCUAAAAAUAGGACCAAAAAGAAUGCAUAGUGCCAAAAUUCUCGCCGAAACGGAAAUGAAUCAACAUUCCGGCAAAAUAUUGGCAACUAUCGCAUUUGAAAUACCGGUACCUGCAAACACAAACAUAUAUGUAACACCACAAACAUAUGCAACACCACAAACAUACAUAGAUCUAGCUAGGCCAUAAAAAGUGCAUGUGCACGUUGUUGGAGGGAGAACAACAUAAAGAUAGCUUCCCCCUUACUUACCUAUCAAAAAAAGUAAUUUAACCACUUCAUUUGGAUGAAUUUAUGGUGCAAAUGAGGUGAGGAGGAGCAGGCAGCCGAGACAAGCUUGGAGGAGGAGGUGGAGAGAAUGAUGUGGGGAAAGUGAGUGUGUAGGUGUGGCUGUCCAAAAUAUCUAGCUGGUCUCAGGUUACAAAUGGCGCACCACCUACAAAUGCGCCAUUAGUAACCCUGGUUACUAAUGACGCACCUGCUGGUGGUGCGCCAUUAGUAGUUUCGCAAAAAAAAAUAUACACUAAUGGCGCACCAGGGCACAGUGCGUCAUUACUAGUUUAAACUAGUAAUGGCGUACUAUACACUGGUGCGCCAUUAGUAGUUUUGCAAAAAAUAAAAAUAAAAAAAUAUAGUAGUGGCGCACUAUGAGGCUGGUGCGCCAUUACUAGGCGCACUAUGCCCUGAUGCGCCAUUAGUAUGUUUGGAAAAAAAAAUUGUUACUAGUGGCGCACCGUGUGUCUAUAUAGUAGUGGCGCACCAUAUGUCUGGUGCGCUAUUAGUGAUCAUUUCAUUUAUAGCCCUUUCCUAGUAGUGCAAGGUACAUGUUGCAUUAUAUUUCCUUGAGAUUAUCAAUAAUCUAAAGAGAGACUUCGUUGGAUCCUACAACUUUGUUCCGAUGAAGAUCAAGUGGAGAGCCGAUCAGUUUGAGUCAGCGUAGUUUAAGCAUGAAAACAUGAGCUCUAAUGGAGAGGCUCACAGUCUCCCUCGAUACGCUUCAGGGGUUGUUUGUUUGUGUUAGAAAAAUAGAUGUGCUCGUAGCAAAGUUGGUAGACAAGAAACAAAACGAGAUCUUUCACUUUUUUAGUUGUUUGACAAUGUACGCAUCCGUGUGUUUUGGCUACCGCGGUGCUUAAAGCAGCUCAAAACCUGGCUCAAGCGCAACAAACGAAUCGACGGUUUCUCCUCAUGCAGGGAGUCACACAACAUGAGUCAAGAAAAAUCCUUUUACACCUUGCAUGACUAUCUCACACGGCAUACAACACACCGCCACAACCAAAUGUUGUGCAUGCAAAUCUAUCAACACCCACCUACUUUUCUACGAGGCCUUACUUUUCCCCGUCGUUUGGUUGUGGCAUUGACUUGGCUUGGCUCGAUGCACACAGCAUGAGGCGGGGCAGACUCUGUUGGCACCUGGGACCUCAUGCAAGUGACAAUGCAAGCCAAACAACCCCUUCAUCUCAAGAACAUAUCAUGUGAAAUGGGGUAAUCUAUGCACCUAGGUGGUUUUGAGCACUGGAUAGAAAAGCGAUGGACAAGAUGAAAGAAGAGACCGGGAUGUAAAUGUAAUUUUCAAAAAGAAAACAAACCCACAAUCUAGUUUCCACAGCCAUACCAUAAUUAAUGUGGGUUGAUUUUAGUGAAAAGUGAUAUCUUAUAGCAAAAAUGGUCAGAGUGUCAGACUGUAGGGGUGGGCUGCGGAUCUGUUAUGAUGAAAUGUUGAGAUAUUUAUGUGAAUGCAUCAGCAGCCCGUCUUCGGGUCAAGUCUCAUCCCUCGGUUUUCUAUCCAACAUCUUAAAAUCGCAUGUGCAUUCGGUGCACAGAUUGACUUCCUUCGGAUUCCCAAACGGAUGCGGACAAGCGUGGCAUGUAUAUAUGAAAAGAAAUGCACAUCCACCAACAGCAUCAUGGCUACAUACAUGUAUCAUCUUCAUGUAUCAUCAUGGCAAAACGCAAUUAAACAGGAUCUACAAGAUGUAGCUUCUGUGAUCAACAUUAAUCAAUCAAACACUUCUUUCUUGAUUGUCCUCUGGCAAAAAUUAUAUGGCGGUCGGUUCACAUAACCUUUAACAUUACUCCACCGAAUUCUAUCAACACAUUAUUUGAGACGUGGCUUAAUGGGAUAGAUACCGAUACAGCGAGACACAUUCGUGUGGGAAUAUGUGCUUUGUUAUGGGCAGUCUGGACUGCAGAAAUGAUUUGGUCUUUAACAGAACAACAAACUUUCAUUUUUUGCAGGUUAUCUUCAGAGCCACUGCGUUGAUCCGUAUGUGGUCGCUACUCACUCCGACGGAGGCCAGGGAGCGUUUGGUUACUGGGUCUACCCAAUGGGAGAUGGUAGCAUGGGAUAUUUUCAACCGGUUUGAAUGGCGGUCAUGUAAUAGGAUAGGCAUGUAGUGCUCCUAUCUUUUGCUAGCCGGUUGUGGCCUUCAUAUUUACUGCUUAGCUCUUUGUGAGUCUUUUUUGUGUUUCUUUGUUUGAGACUUGAAGAUUAUUGUUGGACCUUUUGCUUAUUAAUAAUAUUGGCCGUAUACAUCGUUCAGAUGCAGAGGCUGGGACGAACCCCCCUUUUCGAAAAAAAAAUGUGUCCCCGCAUGCCUACUUGCAACGUUUGUGCCUUCCCGCCUUCGCUCGGUUAGUUCACCGGCGAUUUGCUUCGGGCAACAACAGCAGAUGCGCUCUUCUCCAGUGACGACAACAGCUCCGACACGGGGGGCACAUCAUCCUUUACCUUGUGUUCGUCAAUGGGGUUGGCCUCCAUGUGUUUUGUGGUGCUCUGCCCGGCCGAUUCUCCUGCAAAUACCACACAUGUUUACAUCUUCUUACUGUCUCCACGAAAGAAAUUUUUAAUGCAGUAAAGCAGAGAUCCGGAAACACAAAAGGUAAAUAUCAUGUCACGUUGAGUACUAGAGAUAUUUCAAAACAAUUAAUAUAUGACAAUGAAUUUUUCAUUGCACCACAAAUGAAGGCGAAGAAACUUGUUUUAUUUAAGUAUAAUAUAGACAGCAUAGAAACAAAGAGAGAAUCCAUAAGGCUGGACUAGCUCAAUGAAAGUUUUCUGUUGGAACUGCAUCCAACUUAUUUCUACGGAAGCCUUUAUAGAAAAAAUCUAGGUUCCAGAAUGAAAAUCUAUAAAACUCCUUUUGGGUCAAAAAUUGGCCCUGUGAGUUCGGAUCGACGAACAACCAUUCUCAUUCCCACGUUGUUCUCACUCGGUAUAUGACACAAUGUGAAUUUAUAUAGGCCAAAAUAAACGUAAGGGGUCAAUCCAAACAAAUGUUUAUACAAUGUACAAUAAUAUUCGUGUGAUUCGAAAAAAAUGUUUCGUACAUUCAAAAAAUGUAAAUUUCAAGAAUGCUCACAAGUUUCAGAAAAUGUGUUUGUAAAAAGUGAAUGCAAAUUUAAAAAAUUUGAACCAUGUAAAAGAGUGUUCGUAUAGUUUUAUAAAAUAUUUAUUGUAAUUAUGAAAAUGUAAAACAUAUAUUUGGAAAAAUAUUACCAUGUAUUCAAAAAAGUUUUGAAAACAUUUAAUUUAAAAAUGUACAUAAUGUAUUUGAAAUAUUAAAACUUUAUCAAAAUAUAUUUAAUGUGUGCGUUAAAAAUUACAUUGGGUACGGACAAAAAUUAGAUAUGUGUAAAAAUGGAAAAGAAACUAAGAAAAACCAGAUUAGGGUGCGCGCGCGAACGACUGCGGUACUGGGCCGGCCCAAUUUAGCAAAUACCGGCCGAGUCUUCUCAAGGUUUAAAAUAGACCGGGAUUAGAGAGUUUGGUGUGCCAAUUUUAGGGACUGAGAGUUCGGGGUUUGAUUUAGCUUUCGCCUACAAAUUUAAGGUUUGUUUUGGACUUUUUCUUUUGUGAAGCCGGACAACUACAAGUGGAAAAGAUAAAAUUAUGUCUAAGAAAAAAACAUUAGAGGGGAUAAAAUCCGUUCCAAAAAAGAAACUGAAAGUUGCAACAUCUUGGUUGUUUGAGGCUUUCUAAAGCACAGUUUAUUCCACCGAGGUGACCUUGAGUUGCAAAAAUUCACAAAUAUCAAACGACUAGAGAAACAAAAAAUACAUUCACUUGUUGCACAAGUGUCGUUAACUUAGUGUAAAAAAAGUCGUUAACUUUGCUUAAAUCACGAUUGUAGAUGCUAAAUUCAAAUUAGUGCGAGUCGUACCACGCUCAUUUGUGGAAGCAGGAGACGUCUCUUCCUCCUUGGUCUCCUCGGGUAUGGUCUCCUCCUUGACGAGUGCUACUACUGCUUCCUUCGCCUCAUCAACCUUAGCCUCCUCCACCACCGGCGCCUCAUCGGCCAUGGUGGAUUUCAGCAACUCGUCCUCCUCCUUCAAAGGAGGUUGCGCCGCCUCGUCCACCAUGGCAGAAAGUUCGUCGCGGGUGACAUCCUUCUUGGCCACCACCACCUCCUCUUCCUUAUCCUCGACGACGGCGGCGGGCUUCUCGUCCGACGCCACCUCGACGACGUCGGUCUUGGGCUCGCUGGCCGCCGGCUCCUUGACGACGACGGAGGAGUCGUCGGACGAGGAGGGGGAGGAGGCGUGGGAAGAGCGGUGGCUGGCGGACAUGGUGGACUUCCUCCGGAAGAGCUUGCCGCCGCGCCCGGCGCCGUUGGCGGUGGUGUUGCCGGUGGCCACGUCCUCCUUGGAGCCACCGCAACCCAUGGCACCCGGCGCUGGCGGCGCCGACGGCGGAGGGAGGAGGUGAGGGAGAGAAAGCAGCAAAGAGAGGGAAAGGAGAGGAACCGUCCGGCGGUCGACCUCCAGGGAAGGAUUAGUGGCCUUCAGUUUGUUGAGUUGGGUUCUUAUUUUGUUAUCAUUUCCAGCCUAGCUUUGUAACGGCUGACAGGUGACAACCGGCCUAUGCCCUAGAGAAACUCCGCCGGCCGGCUCGCCGGCGCGCCGGAACUCUGUUAGUUUAGUUGCCACCAGCUUGUCGUUUGCGUGCUCAAAUGUUUAUUGUUCCCCGGCGAUUGAACUUCAUUAGCCGGCAAGUGGCCAGGACAGACGAUUGGACGUGUUUAAACUUUAUAAACAAGACAAGAAGCAAAGCUUGUGUUCGUAGCAACAAAAGUUAUAGUGCAUCCCAAUGAUUGAUUGUCCAUUUGUCCUAAUUGACUGCAUCCAUGCAUGAACAUUUCUGAUAAGAACCAAGCUGACAAUUUACCAACCCAACGUAGCAUUGGUAGACUCCAGGGCAAGCAUACCUUUACCAAGUUAUAUAUUCAUUCCCAAAAAGUAAGCAGGUUUAUGCCCUCCAGUGAUUACUGCCCUCGGCAGGGAGCGAGUAAGGACAUCCAGAGUGAUGACGUGGCGAUCAUCUGAUACAAUCAGACAAGGACUCAUCUCUGAUCAGUUGACGCAAGGUUUUUUGGCCUCAGCUGCCGUACAACCAACCAGCCUCUUCGUCGAUCUCCCAACACACCAAUCAGACUCAUAGGUGCAGCAGGUAACCCAGUGACACGCCGAGAACCGCUAUGUACGCCACAAACAGCGGCGGGAAGCCCGCUUGGCUCCGUGGACCGCCCUUCCAUUUGAAGAACAACUACACAGUAAGACGUGCAAACCGUCAGAGAAAGUGAGAAGCUGCUAGUCUCAUGACUCAUGAGCAGCAGAUAAACAUCCACAGUUGUUAGCAACUGAUGACACUGCGUCCGGUUAUCAUUGCAAUGUAAAUAUCUCGGUAGCGUGCGUGUAGCAAAACAAGCAUAUGCUAAAGACUGCAUGAUCUCAAUUUAUUGGAUGUCAAAAACAGAUCUAUUAGUGAAGUUUAUGUUAGCCCAAACUCGAAACUAGCUGGCUGCCGAGGAUCAGACGAAGUCGAGGAAAAACAAAGUAUACUGGAGCUAGUACGAACUAGUAGCACACACUUGAUAUAUUGUGGACUCAAACACACACUAAUACAAGUGAGAAACUCACGGUGUACUAGUACUACCACUACUACAGUACUAUUAGAAGCUAGCUUGCUUCCUUUGCUGGAUUUGGAAUGGAAUGACUACAACCGGAAGGGUGCAGCCCCUUUUAUAGCAGUCUAAACCGACUUAGAGCUAGGAUAUUUUACCAGUAGUGAGCUAAGCACUUGCGUCACUACCUUACCUAGUAAGCCAUGUAACCGCCGCUGCCGACCUACCAAUUGCAUGCUAGCUGUUUCACUUCAUAGUUAAGUAACUUGCUGCUGCUGGUGGUGCAUGCAGCCAUGCAUGCAUCGAACACAGGGUUGGGCCCACAAUCUCCCCCUCAACCCUGUCGGAGGGUCUUGAUGUCGAUGAUCCCGAUCUUGUCGCGCGGCUCUUGGAACUCGACGCAACCAAGUGCCUUGGUUGGGAUGUCCGCCUUCUCGGGGUCUGUGUAGCCCGUACGUCCUGCUCGUGCUUUGCCACUAGAGCGAGGACCUUCUGCAAGUCCUCCCCCGUGCGCUGUAUGUAACCUUUUGCGACGAGCCGCGCCUUGUGCUUGAUGAAGGCGCCGUGCUCGUCCUUCUUCAUCUCGGGGUGCUGUGAUCGUCCCGCAGGUUCGCCGAGAAGAUCCCCCUAGGCGUCGGAACCUAUAUGGAGCGCCAACGUUGUUGUUGGCAUCGAACAGGUCCGACUGCGCUGUUGGCGGGAACAUGAACUGCCCAGAAACCACCUCGCUCGUAGGCGUUAGUGUUGCUGGAGUCGUAGUUCCUGACAUCACACUGCCCGGGAACUCCCUUCCUGGGGUCGUCGAGUCAGACGUCAUGCUACCUGGGAACUCCCUUCUCGGGGAUGACUUUUCGGACAUCGCACUACCCGGAGUGGCUUCUCCCAAGGUAGUGGACUCCUUGUUGUUAGGGAACGUAGUAAUUUCAACAAAAAUCAUACGCACACGCAAGAUCAUGGUGAUGCAUAGCAACGAGAGGGGAGAGUGUGUCCACGUACCCUCGUAGACCGAAAACGGAAGCGUUAUGACAACGCGGUUGAUGUAGUCGUACGUCUUCACGAUCGGUUCGAUCCAAGUACCGAACGCACGGCACCUCCGAGUUCAGCACACAUUCAGCUCGGUGACGUCCCACGAGCUCACGAUCCAGCAGAGCUUCGAGGGAGAGUUCCGUCAGCACGACGGCGUGAUGACGGUGAUGAUGAUGCUACCGACGCAGGGCUUCGCCUAGGCACCGCUACGAUAUGACUGAGGUGGAUUAUGGUGGAGGGGGGCACCGCACACGGCUAAAAGAUCAAUGAUCAACUUGUGUGUCUAUGGGGUGCCCCCUGGCCACGUAUAUAAAGGAGUGGAGGAGGGGGAGGGCCGGCCUAGCUAUGGCGCGCCCUGGAGGAGUCCUACUCCCACUGGGAGUAGGAUCCCCCCCCUUCCAUGUAGUAGGAGUAGGAGAGAAGGAAAGGGAAAAGAGAAGAGAAGGAAGGAGGGGGCGCCGCCCCUCCCCCUAGUCCAAUUCGGACUAGGCCUUGGGGGGCGCGCAACCUCCCUUCUCUCUUUCCCCUAAAGCCCAAUAAGGCCCAUAUACUGUUGGAAAUAUGCCCUAGAGGCAAUAAUAAAAUGGUUAUUAUUAUAUUUCCUUGUUCAUGAUAAUUGUCUAUUGUUCAUGCUAUAAUUGUGUUAUCCGGAAAUCGUAAUACAUGUGUGAAUACAUAGACCACAACAUGUCCCUAGUGAGCCUCUAGUUGACUAGCUCGUUGAUCAACAGAUAGUCAUGGUUUCCUGACUAUGGACAUUCGAUGUCAUUGAUAACGGGAUCACAUCAUUAGGAGAAUGAUGUGAUGGACACGACCCAAUCCUAAGCAUAGCACAAGAUCGUGUAGUUCGUUUGCUAGAGCUUUUCCAAAUGUCAAGUAUCAUUUCCUUAGACCAUGAGAUUGUGCAACUCCCGGAUACCAUAGGAGUGCUUUGGGUGUGCCAAACGUCACAACGUAACUGGGUGGCUAUAAAGGUGCACUACGGGUAUCUCCGAAAGUGUCUAUUGGGUUGGCGCGAAUCGAGACUGGGAUUUGUCACUCCGUAUGACGGAGAGGUAUCUCUGGGCCCACUCGGUAAUGCAUCAUCAUAAUGAGCUCAAUGUGACCAAGUGUUUGGUCACGGGAUCAUGCAUUACGGUACGAGUAAAGUGACUUGUCGGUAACGAGAUUGAACAAGGUAUUGGGAUACCGACGAUCGAAUCUCGGGCAAGUAACGUACCGAUUGACAAAGGGAAUUGUAUACGGGAUUGAUUGAAUCCUCGACAUCGUGGUUCAUCCGAUGAGAUCAUCGUGGAACAUGUGGGAGCCAACAUGGGUAUCCAGAUCCCGCUGUUGGUUAUUGACCGGAGAGUCGUCUCGGUCAUGUCUGCAUGUCUCUCGAACCCGUAGGGUCUACACACUUAAGGUUCGGUGACGCUAGGGUUGUAGAGAUAUUAGUAUGCGGAAAUCUGAAAGUUGUUCGGAGUCCCGGAUGAGAUCCCGGACGUCACGAGGAGUUCCGUAAUGGUCCGGAGGUGAAGAAUUAUAUAUAGGAAGUCCAGUUUCGGCCACCGGGAAAGUUUCGGGGGUCACCGGUAUUGUACCGGGACCACCGGAAGGGUCCCGCGGGGUCCACCGGGUGGGGCCACCUAUCCCGGAGGGCUCCAUGGGCUGAAGUGGAAGGGGAACCAGCCCCUAGUGGGCUGGUGCGCCCCCCUUGGGCCUCCCCCUGCGCCUAGGGUUGGAAACCCUAGGGGUGGGGGGCGCCCCACUUGGCUUGGGGGGGAAGCCACCCCCUUGGCCGCCGCCCCCCUUGGAGAUUGGAUCUCCUAGGGCCGGCGCCCCCCCAGGGGCCCUAUAUAAAUAGGGGGAGGGAGGGCAGCCGCACCCAAGCCCCUGGCGCCUCCCUCUCCCUCCCGUGACACCUCUCCCUCUCGCUGAGCUUGGCGAAGCCCUGCCGAGAUCCCCGCUACUUCCACCACCACGCCGUCGUGCUGCUGGAUCUCCAUCAACCUCUCCUUCCCCCUUGCUGGAUCAAGAAGGAGGAGACGUCUUCCCCAACCGUACGUGUGUUGAACGCGGAGGUGCCGUCCGUUCGGCGCUCGGUCAUCGGUGAUUUGGAUCACGACGAGUACGACUCCAUCAACCCCGUUCACUUGAACGCUUCCGCUCGCGAUCUACAAGGGUAUGUAGAUGCACUCCUCUCUCUCGUUGCUAGAUGACUCCAUAGAUUGAUCUUGGUGAUGCGUAGAAAUUUUUUAAUUUCUGCUACGAUCCCCAACAGUGGCAUCAUGAGCUAGGUCUAUGCGUAGUUUCUAUGCACGAGUAGAACACAAACUUGUUGUGGGCGUAGAUGUUGUCAAUUUUCUUGCCACUACUAGUCUUAUCUUGUUUCGGCGGCAUCGUGGGAUGAAGCGGCCCGGACCGACCUUACACGUACGCUUACGUGAGACAGGUUCCACCGACUGACAUGCACUAGUUGCAUAAGGUGGCUAGCGGGUGUCUGUCUCUCCCACUUUAGUCGAAUCGGAUUCGAUGAAAAGGGUCCUUACGAAGGGUAAAUAGAAAUUGGCAUAUCACGUUGUGGUUUUGGCGUAGGUAAGAAACGUUCUUGCUAAGAAACCUAUAGCAGCCACGUAAAAAACUUGCAACAACAAUUAGAGGACGUCUAACUUGUUUUUGCAGCAUAUGCCAUGUGAUGUGAUAUGGCCAAAAGGAUGUGAUGAAUGAUGUAUGUGAUGUAUGAGAUUGAUCAUGUUCUUGUAAUAGGAAUCACGACUUGCAUGUCGAUGAGUAUGACAACCGGCAGGAGCCAUAGGAGUUGUCUUUAUUUUUUGUGUGACCUGCGUGUCAUUGGAUAACGCCAUGUAAAUUACUUUACUUUAUUGCUAAACACGUUAGCCAUAGAAGUAGAAGUAAUCGUUGGCGUGACAACUUCAUGAAGACACGAUGAUGGAGAUCAUGAUGAUGGAGAUCAUGGUGUCAUGCCGGUGACGAAGAUGAUCAUGGCGCCCCGAAGAUGGAGAUCAAAGGAGCAAAAUGAUAUUGGCCAUAUCAUGUCACUAUUUGAUUGCAUGUGAUGUUUAUCAUGUUUUACAUCUUAUUUGCUUAGAACGACGGUAGCUUAAAUAAGAUGAUCCCUCGCAAUAAUUUCAAGAAAGUGUUCCCCCUAACUGUGCACCGUUGCGAAGGUUCGUUGUUUCGAAGCACCACGUGAUGAUCGGGUGUGAUAGAUUCUAACGUUCGAAUACAACGGGUGUAAGCCAGAUUUACACACGCAAUACACUUAGGUUGACUUGACGAGCCUAGCAUGUACAGACAUGGCCUCGGAACACGGAAGACCGAAAGGUCGAGCAUGAGUCGUAUAGAAGAUACGAUCAACAUGAAGAUGUUCACCGAUGUUGACUAGUCCGUCUCACGUGAUGAUCGGACACGGCCUAGUUGACUCGGAUCAUGUUUCACUUAGAUGACUAGAGGGACGUCUAUCUGAGUGGGAGUUCAUUGAAUAAUUUGAUUAGAUGAACUUCAUUAUCAUGAACUUAGAAUAAAAUCUUUACAAUAUGUCUUGUAGAUCAAAUGGCCCACGCUAAUGUUACCCUCAACUUCAACGGGUUCCUAGAGAAAACCAAGCUGAAAGAUGAUGGCAGCAACUAUACGGACUGGGUCCGGAACCUGAGGAUCAUCCUCAUAGCUGCCAAGAAAGAUUAUGUCCUAGAAGCACCGCUAGGUGACGCACCCAUCCCAGAGAACCAAGACGUUAUGAACGCUUGGCAGCAGCGUGCUGAUGAUUACUCCCUCGUUCAAUGCGGCAUGCUUUACAUCUUAGAACCGGGGCUCCAAAAGCGUUUUGAGCAACACGGAGCAUAUGAGAUGUUCGAAGAGCUGAAAAUAGUUUUCCAAGCUCAUGCCCGGGUCGAGAGAUAUGAAGUCUCCGACAAGUUCUUCAGUUGUAAGAUGGAGGAAAAUAGUUCUGUCAGUGAGCACAUACUCAAAAUGUCUGGGUUACACAACCGCUUGACUCAGCUGGGAGUUAAUCUCCCGGAUGACGCGGUCAUUGACAGAAUCCUUCAGUCGCUUCCACCGAGCUACAAGAGCUUUGUGAUGAACUUCAAUAUGCAGGGGAUGGAAAAGACCAUUCCUGAGGUAUAUUCAAUGCUGAAAUCAGCGGAGGUGGAGAUCAAAAAGGAACAUCAAGUGUUGAUGGUGAAUAAAACCACUAAGUUCAAGAAAGGCAAGGGUAAGAAGAACUUCAAGAAGGACGGCAAGGGAGUUGCCGCGCCCGGUAAGCCAGUUGCCGGGAAGAAGCCAAAGAAUGGACCCAAGCCUGAGACUGAGUGCUUUUAUUGCAAGGGAAGUGGUCACUGGAAGCGGAACUGCCCCAAGUACUUAGCGGACAAGAAGGCUGGCAACACCAAAGGUAUAUGUGAUAUACAUGUUAUUGAUGUGUACCUUACCAGCACUCGUAGUAGCUCCUGGGUAUUUGAUACCGGUGCGGUUGCUCAUAUUUGUAACUCAAAGUAGGAGCUGCGGAAUAAACGGAGACUGGCAAAGGACGAGGUGACGAUGCGCGUCGGGAAUGGUUCCAAGGUCGAUGUGAUCGCCGUCGGCACGCUACCUCUACAUUUACCUACGGGAUUAGUUUUAAACCUCAAUAAUUGUUAUUUAGUGUCAGCUUUGAGCAUGAACAUUGUAUCUGGAUCUCGUUUAAUGCGAGAUGGCUACUCAUUUAAAUCCGAGAAUAAUGGUUGUUCUAUUUAUAUGAGAGAUAUGUUUUAUGGUCAUGCCCCGCUGGUCAAUGGUUUAUUCUUAAUGAAUCUCGAACAUGAUGUUACACAUAUUCAUAGUGUGAAUACCAAAAGAUGUAAAGUUGAUAACGAUAGUCCCACAUACUUGUGGCACUGCCGCCUUGGUCACAUUGGUGUCAAGCGCAUGAAGAAGCUCCAUGCUGAUGGACUUUUAGAGUCUCUCGAUUAUGAAUCAUUUGACACAUGCGAACCAUGCCUCAUGGGCAAAAUGACCAAGACUCCGUUCUCCGGAACAAUGGAGCGAGCAACCAACUUAUUAGAAAUCAUACAUACUGAUGUGUGCGGUCCAAUGAGUGUUGAGGCUCGCGGAGGCUAUCGUUAUGUUCUCACUCUCACUGAUGACUUGAGUAGAUAUGGGUAUGUCUACCUAAUGAAACACAAGUCUGAGACCUUUGAAAAGUUCAAGGAAUUUCAGAGUGAGGUUGAGAAUCAAUGUGACAGAAAAAUAAAAUUCUUACAAUCAGAUCGUGGAGGGGAAUAUUUGAGUCACGAAUUUGGCACACACUUAAGGAAAUGUGGAAUAGUUUCACAACUCACGCCGCCUGGAACACCUCAGCAAAAUGGUGUGUCCGAACGUUGUAAUCGCACUCUAUUGGAUAUGGUGCGAUCUAUGAUGUCUCUUACCAAUCUACCGCUCUCAUUUUGGGGCUAUGCUUUAGAGACUGCCGCAUUCACUUUAAAUAGGGCUUCGUCGAAAUCCGUUGAGACGACACCGUAUGAAUUAUGGUUUGGGAAGAAACCUAAGCUGUCGUUUCUAAAAGUUUGGGGAUGCGAUGCUUAUGUCAAGAAACUUCAACCUGAAAAGCUCGAACCCAAGUCGGAGAAAUGCGUCUUCAUAGGAUACCCUAAGGAAACCAUUGGGUAUACCUUCUACCUCAGAUCCGAAGGCAAGAUCUUUGUUGCUAAGAACGGAUCCUUUCUGGAGAAAGAGUUUCUCUCGAAAGAAGUAAGUGGGAGGAAGGUAGAGCUUGAUGAAGUAUUGCCUCUUGAAGCGGAAAGUAGUGCAGCUCAGGAAAAUGUUCCUGUGGUGCAUGCACCGACUAGAGAGGAAGUUAAUGAUGAUGAUGAUCAAGGUACUUCGGAUCAAGCUCCUACUGAACUUCGUAGGUCCACAAGGACACGUUCCGCGCCAGAGUGGUACGGCAACCCUGUCUUGGAAAUCAUGUUGUUAGACAACGGUGAACCUUCGAACUAUGAAGAAGCAAUGGCGGGCCCAGAUUCCGACAAAUGGCUAGAAGCCAUGCAAUCCGAGAUAGGAUCCAUGUAUGAAAACGAAGUAUGGACUUUGACUGACUUGCCUGAUGAUCGGCGAGCCAUAGAAAAUAAAUGGAUCUUUAAGAAGAAGACAGACGCGGAUGGUAAUGUGACCAUCUAUAAGGCUCGACUUGUCGCUAAGGGUUAUCGACAAGUUCAAGGGGUUGACUACGAUGAGACUUUCUCACCCGUAGCGAAGCUGAAGUCCGUCCGAAUCAUGUUAGCAAUUGCCGCAUUCUAUGAUUAUGAGAUAUGGCAAAUGGACGUCAAAACGGCAUUCCUUAACGGCUUUCUUAAGGAAGAAUUGUAUAUGAUGCAGCCGGAAGGUUUUGUCGAUCCUAAGAAUGCUAACAAGGUAUGCAAGCUCCCGCGCUCCAUCUAUGGGCUGGUGCAAGCAUCUCAGAGUUGGAACAUUCGAUUUGAUGAGAUGAUCAAAGCGUUUGGGUUUACACAGACUUAUGCAGAAGCCUGUGUUUACAAGAAAGUGAGUGGGAUCUCUGUAGCAUUUCUCAUAUUAUAUGUGGAUGACAUACUGUUGAUGGGAAAUGAUAUAGAAUUCUUGGAAAGCAUAAAGGCCUACUUGAACAAGUGUCUUUCAAUGAAGGACCUUGGAGAAGCUUCUUAUAUAUUAGGCAUCAAGAUCUAUAGAGAUAGAUCAAGACGCCUCAUUGGUCUUUCACAAAGUACGUACCUUGACAAGAUAUUGAAGAAGUUCAAUAUGGAUCAGUCCAAGAAGGGGUUCUUGCCUGUAUUGCAAGGUGUGCAAUUGAGCACGGCUCAAUGCCCGACCAUGGCAGAAGAUAGAGAAAAGAUGAGUGUCGUCCCCUAUGCCUCGGCCAUAGGGUCUGUUAUGUAUGCCAUGCUGUGUACCAGACCUGAUGUAAACCUUGCCGUAAGUUUGGUAGGAAGGUACCAAAGUAAUCCCGGCAUGGAACACUGGACAGCGGUCAAGAAUAUCCUGAAGUACCUGAAGAGGACUGAGGAUAUGUUUCUCGUUUAUGGAGGUGACGAAGAGCUCGUCGUAAAGGGUUACGUCGAUGCUAGCUUCGACACAGAUCUGGAUGACUCUAAGUCACAAACCGGAUAUGUGUAUAUUUUGAAUGGUGGGGCAGCAAGCUGGUGCAGUUGCAAGCAAAGCGUCGUGGCGGGAUCUACAUGUGAAGCGGAGUACAUGGCAGCCUCGGAGGCAGCGCAUGAAGCAAUCUGGAUGAAGGAGUUCAUCGCCGACCUAGGAGUCAUACCCAAUGCGUCGGGACCAAUCACCCUCUUCUGUGACAACACUGGAGCUAUUACCCUUGCCAAGGAGCCCAGGUUUCACAAGAAGACCAGGCAUAUCAAGCGUCGCUUCAACUCCAGUCGUGAAAAUGUUCAAAAUGGAGACAUAGAUAUUUGUAAAGUAUAUACGGACCUGAAUGUAGCAGAUCCGUUGACUAAACCUCUCCCUAGAGCAAAACAUGAUCAACACGAGAACUCUAUGGGUGUUCGAUUCAUCACAAUGUAACUAGAUUAUUGACUCUAGUGCAAGUGGGAGACUGUUGGAAAUAUGCCCUAGAGGCAAUAAUAAAAUGGUUAUUAUUAUAUUUCCUUGUUCAUGAUAAUUGUCUAUUGUUCAUGCUAUAAUUGUGCUAUCCGGAAAUCGUAAUACAUGUGUGAAUACAUAGACCACAACAUGUCCCUAGUGAGCCUCUAGUUGACUAGCUCGUUGAUCAACAGAUAGUCAUGGUUUCCUGACUAUGGACAUUGGAUGUCAUUGAUAACGGGAUCACAUCAUUAGGAGAAUGAUGUGAUGGACAAGACCCAAUCCUAAGCAUAGCACAAGAUCGUGUAGUUCGUUUGCUAGAGCUUUUCCAAAUGUCAAGUAUCAUUUACUUAGACCAUGAGAUUGUGCAACUCCCGGAUACCAUAGGAGUGCUUUGGGUGUGCCAAACGUCACAACGUAACUGGGUGGCUAUAAAGGUGCACUACGGGUAUCUCCGAAAGUGUCUGUUGGGUUGGCGCGAAUCGAGACUGGGAUUUGUCACUCCGUAUGACGGAGAGGUGUCUCUGGGCCCACUCGGUAAUGCAUCAUCAUAAUGAGCUCAAUGUGACCAAGUGUUUGGUCAGGGGAUCAUGCAUUACGGUACGAGUAAAGUGACUUGCCGGUAACGAGAUUGAACAAGGUAUUGGGAUACCGACGAUCGAAUCUCGAGCAAGUAACGUACCGAUUGACAAAGGGAAUUGUAUACGGGAUUGAUUGAAUCCUCGACAUCGUGGUUCAUCCGAUGAGAUCAUCGUGGAACAUGUGGGAGCCAACAUGGGUAUCCAGAUCCCGCUGUUGGUUAUUGACCGGAGAGUCGUCUCGGUCAUGUCUGCAUGUCUCUCGAACCCGUACACACUUAAGGUUCGGUGACGCUAGGGUUGUAGAGAUAUUAGUAUGCGGAAAUCUGAAAGUUGUUCGGAGUCCCGGAUGAGAUCCCGGACGUCACGAGGAGUUCCGGAAUGGUCCGGAGGUGAAGAAUUGUAUAUAGGAAGUCCAGUUUCGGCCACCGGGAAAGUUUCGGGGGUCACCGGUAUUGUACCGGGACCACCGGAAGGGUCCCGGGGGGUCCACCGGGUGGGGCCACCUAUCCCGGAGGGCUCCAUGGGCUGAAGUGGAAGGGGAACCAGCCCCUGGUGGGCUGGUGCGCCCCCCUUGGGCCUCCCCCUGCGCCUAGGGUUGGAAACCCUAGGGGUGGGGGGCGCCCCACUUGGCUUGGGGGGUAAGCCACCCCCUUGGCCGCUGCCCCCUUGGAGAUUGGAUCUCCUAGGGCCGGCGCCCCCCCAGGGGCCCUAUAUAAAUAGGGGGGGAGGGAGGGCAGCCGCACCCAAGCCCCUGGCGCCUCCCUCUCCCUCCCGUGACACCUCUCCCUCUCGCUGAGCUUGGCGAAGCCCUGCCGAGAUCCCCGCUACUUCCACCACCACGCCGUCGUGCUGCUGGAUCUCCAUCAACCUCUCCUUCCCCCUUGCUGGAUCAAGAAGGAGGAGACGUCUUCCCCAACCGUACGUGUGUUGAACGCGGAGGUGCCGUCCGUUCGGCGCUCGGUCAUCGGUGAUUUGGAUCACGACGAGUACGACUCCAUCAACCCCGUUCACUUGAACGCUUCCGCUCGCGAUCUACAAGGGUAUGUAGAUGCACUCCUCUCUCUCGUUGCUAGAUGACUCCAUAGAUUGAUCUUGGUGAUGCGUAGAAAAAUUUUAAUUUCUGCUACGAUCCCCAACAUAUACUCCCCGGCGAAUUCCCGUAACUCUCCGGUACUCCCAUAAAUACCCGAACCACUCGAACCUUUCCGAUGUCCGAAUAUAGUCGUCCAAUAUAUCGAUCUUUACGUCUCGACCAUUUCGAGACUCCUCGUCAUGUCCCCGAUCUUAUCCGAGACUUCGAACUACCUUCGGUACAUCAAAACACAUAAACUCAUAAUACCGAUCGUCACCGAACGUUAAGCGUGCGGACCCUACGGGUUCGAGAACUAUGUAGACAUGACCGAGACACGUCUCCGGUCAAUAACCAAUACCGGAACCUGGAUGCUCAUAUUGGUUCCUACAUAUUCUAUGAAGAUCUUUAUCGGUCAAACCGCAUAACAACAUACGUUGUUCCCUUUGUCAUCGGUAUGUUACUUGCCCGAGAUUCGAUCGUCGGUAUCUCAAUACUAGCUCAAUAUCGUUACCGGCAAGUCUCUUUACUCGUUCUGUAAUGCAUCAUCCCGUGACUAACUCAUUAGUCACAUUGCUUGCAAGGCUUAUAGUGAUGUGCAAUACCGAGAGGGCCCAGAGAUACCUCUCCGACAAUCGGAGUGACAAAUCCUAAUCUCGAUCUAUGCCAACUCAACAAACACCAUCGGAGACACCUGUAGAGCACCUUUAUAAACCCAGUUACAUUAUGACGUUUGAUAGCACACAAAGUGUUCCUCCGGUAUUCGGGAGUUGCAUAAUCUCAUAGUCAUAGGAACAUGUAUAAGUCAUGAAGAAAGCAACAGCAACAUACUAAACGAUCAAGUGCUAAGCUAACGGAAUGGGUCAAAUCAAUCACAUCAUUCUCCUAAUGAUGUGAUCCCGUUUAUCAAAUGACAACUCAUGUCUAUGGCUAGGAAACUUAACCAUCUUUGAUUCAACGAGCUAGUCAACUAGAGGCAUACUAAUGACACUCUGUUUUGUCUAUGUAUUCACACAUGUAUUAUAUUUCCGGUUAAUACAAUUCUAGCAUGAAUAAUAAACAUUUAUCAUGAAAUAAGGAAAUAAAUAAUAACUUUAUUAUUGCCUCUAGGGCAUAUUUCCUUCACUUGUCACUCUUCCCAUCAGACUUGUUUGUCGGGUCUCCCCCGAUAGUUGUGAGUCGUGCCUCCCGCACGGACUUGAUGGACCCCGAGCGCGUCGGGGUUGCGGUGUGGCCGACCAUAGAGCACCGUGCCUCCUGCACGGUCUCGACAGUCGCCACCAGUGUGGUUGGGGCGUGCCCUUCCAGAGAGUGUCGUGCCUCCCGCACGAACUCGAUGGACCCCGAGCACGCAACAUGGCCGACCAGAGAGCUCUGCGCCUCCUGCACAGCCUCGAUGGUCGCCAGAGUCACGGUCGAGGCCUUGCCGCCCCAUGACCGUCUCUUCAUGGCCUCCCAGCUGUUGAGGCCUGUCGAAGAGUGCCGUGUUGCCCACACGGGCUCGCAGAACCCCGAGAACCUGGUUGUCGGGGUGUGGCCGACCUGAGAGUGUCGUGCCUCUUGCACGGGCUCACUGCUCACCAGCAUCAUGGUUGGGACGUGGCCCACCAUAUGCGUCGUUGUCGUGCCUCCUGACACGGGCUUGUUUGGUCCCGAGGAUGUCGGGGCCGCGAUUGCCGUGCCAACUUGCACGGGCUUGACGGCGUCACAAGGGACGUGGUUGCCAGGGUGUGGCUCCCCCACACCCGGGUCUUCAUCUCCUCCCAAUCGUAGGCCCCCGAGAACGCUGUUGUCAGGGAAAGCGCUACCGAUGUUGGGACGGGAUCAGUUGAACAGCUCUGUGCCUCCCGCACGGACUUAACGGUUGCCGGCACCGUGGUCGCCGGAGGUGCUGCACCCUCCUGCACGGCUUCGAUGCUUGUCGAGACCAUGGUCUCCGGAGGCGCUGGGCCCUCCUGCAUGGUCUCGACGCAAGCCAUCAUCAUUGCUGGCCCACCGUCCUCUUCAGCCUGGACGAGGUUCGCCGCGGCUGCGGCAUCCUCGUCAGCCAUCCUCCUGCGGCACUCACGGGCCCAGUGGCCCUUGAUGCUGCAAUAUCGGCACUUGUCCCGGUCAUCGUUGCCGGCACCUCGUCCGGCUCCGCCCUGGGUGCGACCGCCGCCUCUGCCGAUGCCGCCUCCACUGCUCGGCGCACCUCCACCACGUCCUUGACGCUUCCUCGCCUCCCACUUCUUCGACAACAGGAGUUGUUCUCCACCGAAGCUCUCACGGCCGUCCUCAAGGCGUUCCUCGACCACCCGCAACCGGCUCGUGAGCUCCUCUAUGGAGAGCUCACUCAGGUCAAGCAAGGUCUCGAUGGAGACCGCUACCUGAGCGAAGCGAGGUGGCACGACACGGAGAAAUUUCCGCACGACUCUCGCGUCGUCCAUAGUGUCGCCGAGCGCUCGGAGUUGUGACGCAACGCUGGAGAUCCGCAUGGCGAAGUCGUCGACGUGCUCGCCCUCCUUGAAGGCGAUGUUCUCGAAGUCCGCCCGCAGCUUCUGCACGUUCGCCUCGCGCACGCGGUUGCUGCCGAGGCGCUGGGUACGGAUGGCUUCCCAUGCCUCCUUGGCGCUUGCCUUCGCCGCGAGCAUGCCGCGCAUCUCCGGCGGCGUGGCGCGCAUAAGCGCCUCCUUGGCGCUUGCCUUCGCCGUGAGCAUGCCGCGCAUCUCCGGCGGCGUGGCGCGCAUAAGCGCCGCCACGGCUUUCCUGUCCUCCUUUCUCUCGACCAGGUCGUCCUCCAUGGGCACCCAGAGGCUCGCGGCAUGGAGGUUGCACUCCAUGAUCAACGCCCACUCGUUGUAGUUCGAGCGCGUGAGCAUCGGGAAGAUGAUGGGUACGCUACCGCUGACUGCGGUCUCGCGCACGAUCUCCCUAACCACGACCUCACCGCGAUGGCCGUGCCUCGACCGGCUGCGCCCUUGCUGCUCCUUCAGAGGCGGUGACUAGGAGCCGUCAUGUGAUAGCCGCGACUGGGAACCACCCGAGGUGGUGCGCUGUUGCACUCCUUUUGCACCGGCCAUGGCUACCACAACCUGAGGCUUUGAUGCCAAUUGUUAGCCUAAACUCGUAACUAGCUGGGUGUCAAGGAUCAGACGAAGUCGAUGAAAAACAAAGUAUACUGGAGCUAGUACAAACUAGUAGCACACACUUGAUAUAUUGUGGACUCAAACACACACUGAUACAAGUGAGAAACUCACGGUGUACUAGUACUACCACUACUACAGUACUACUAGAAGCUAGCUUGCUUCCUUUGCUGGAUUUGGAAUGGAAUGACUACAACCGGGAGGGUGCAGCCCCUUUUAUAGCAGUCUAGACCGAUUUAGAGCUAGGAUAUUUUACCAGUAGUGAGCUAAGCACUUGCGUCACUACCUUACCUAGUAAGCCAUGCAACCGCCGCUGCCGACCUACCAAUUGCAUGCUAGCUGUUUCACUUCAUAGUUAAGUAACUUGCUGCUGCUGCUGGUGCAUGCAGCCAUGCAUGCAUCUAGCCAUGCAUGCAUCGAAGACAGGGUUGGGCCCAUAGGUUAUAGUCAAGAAUCACUGAAGUUUAGCUCUUUGUAACAGGGUGUGCAAUGUUUAGAUUUAUCUUCGAAGUUUGAGUUAUAACGAAUAUAUGACAAAUGAGAACAGGUUGUUCAAGAGAAGUGUACAUCAAGAACGAAGUUAAGAUCCUACCAUUCCAUGCCGCAACUUAUCCCAUUCUUGGAUGGUGGUUGUGGCAUCUUCCCUCAGUUUUAUGAUCAAAUUUUCGGCCUGUCAAGAAGGGGAGAUUUCAAAAGUGUCCACAGAACUGAUUCAAACCAUCCCUUACAAAAUUCCUACCUCUUUUAGUUUAUCUUCAAGAUAAGUAAGUUCUGACUUCAUAUUCUGAACAUCUUCAACCUGAUACGAGUAAUGAAUAAGUUAACCAGAAGACAGCACAGUUAACGCAAAGGGCAACCUGGUGCAUGUAGCUCCCGCUUGCGCAGGGUCCGGGAAAGGGCCCGACCACUUUGAUAAAAUAUACUUUUCGAGAAAGAAGUAAUCAGUAACAUUUAGAACAUUUUAAUUGCGCUGAUGCUUAUGCAACAAAACACCGGGUUAAUGAAACAGUGGGUUAACGUCACACAUUAAAGUUGGUUUUAUAAUAGGAUAAGCAAGGGCAAAAGGACAUGCAACAUAAUUGAGAAUUUGAAACCUACAUGGUAUGGAUGAAGAUUCUCUGUGUUGACAAGUAUAUCACUCGAGAUCGCAACUACUUUUGAAGCACGAAUAUCUGUUAAGGCCCUCUUAGUUUCUGUUGAAGAAAACUGAGUUGCUACAGAAACAAUAGGAGUUCUUUUCAAAUGGAUAUCUGAUUCUGCUGAGGUAGCUGGAGCUUAUUUUAAUGGGACCGGGAAAUCUCUCAAAACAGCAGGAGCAUUUUUAAAGGUCAUAUUCAUUUCUGUUGAAGAAAAUUGAGUUUCUACAGAAUCAGUAGGAGUUUCAUUCAAAUGAGUAACAGAUUCUGCUGAAGUAGCUGGAGCUUCUUUCAACGGGACUAUGAAAUCUCUCAGAACAGUAGGAGUUUCUUUUAAGGUUGUAUUCAUUUCUAUUGAAGAAAACUGAGUUUCUACAGAACUAAUAGGAGUUCCUUUCAAAUGGAUAGUUUGUUCUGAUGAAGUAACUGGAGCUUCUUUCAAUGGGACAGGGAAAUCUCUCAGAAGAGUGGGAGUUCCUUUUACAGGGAAAGGAAUUUCACUCAGAAUAGCUGGAGAUUCUCUUAGGGAGGAAAAGCUUGGGACUUGGUUCGCCACGUUAGGUACUCCAUUCACAAUAUUCAAUCUCUUUUCCCACAGGAACCUCAAUGGCAAUCUUUGCACCGGGAAUUCCACUGAUGAGUUGCUCUGCUUCAGGCCGAGUUGCACUAACAAGGACAACUCUCAGCUUAUUCUCCUUGACGUAUCUUCUGGUCUCUUUGGAGAACUACAAGAGGAAUAGAGGAAAUCAAGCAGAUUAAAACUCGGAAUGGAAGAUGCAAAGACAACAUCACGAACGGAACAUAAAUUACGGUGUAGUGCGAACUUACAAAAGCAGGAAGGAUGCCUUCAUCAGUUAUACCAGAAGGAACAGCGGUGGUUUGCACAAGAAACUUGUCUUUUAUUUGCAUAAUUGGUGGAGCAGUCUUUUGUGCUUGCAUAGUAACUACAAUUCAGUUGGCAGCAAAGUUAACAAAACAUAUAGUUAAAAGCAAGUGUAAUUUAAGCUACAAAAACCUAAAACUAACCAAAGCAUAUGAACACUGAAAAUAUGUUUCUCUCUUCCUCGAAGCAAGCUUAUCUCCUCCGUUGGAUCAAUACAAGAAGUAAUACACCAGGAGCCAGCUGAUCAUGAAUGAAUCACAUGAGCAGACAAGAGAAUUUGUGAUGGUAGAUAUAAUUUAAGUUGCUAUUAUAUCAAUCGAUUUCACGAGAAGGGGGCAGAAAAAUAUUUUUAAUGACAUACACUCAGAUCAACUACAGACGAAAGGAGGAUACAACAGGAGCAAAAUAUCUGAUUGGGAUCAAUUUUGAAUUUGGUAAACCACCAGUAUCAGUAUUUAGAACUAUAUCAACUUUGAGUUACAUAAGUUGGUACUUUGCAAUGUGCGAACAGCGGAACACGUCUUGCCUCUCUCGAGGGACGUGGUUCAUGUUAUAAAGGAGGGGGCGCGACCACCCUACGAUCGUUACAGAGAGAUUUUCCAAGAGAGUUUACUUGGAAAGAGGAGAUAGAGAUAGUUACAAUUGUGAGAUAUUUGAACUACCUAACAACCGAAUCUAUCUCUAUCUAUACUAUGCGAAUAUCUCCUGGUUAGAUCACCUAACGUGACAUGCAUCAUGUUUAACACCCUCCCUUCAUCACAACUUCAUCAAGUUGAGAUUAUGCUUGAAGUCUUCAAAACUUCUUAUAGGCAAAGGCUUUGUGAAUCCAUCUGCAAGUUGGUCUUUAGAAUGCACAAAGCGAAUGUCAAGUUGUUUCUGAGCAACUCUUUCUCUGACAAAAUGAAAGUCUAUCUCUAUAUGCUUUGUCCUGGCAUGGAACACCGGAUUUGCAGAGAGAUACGUAGCACCAAGGUUGUCACACCAUAAGCAGGGAGCUUGUUUACUUUGUACAACAAGUUCCUUCAGCAUGGACUGAACCCAUAUUAUCUCAGCUGUGGCAUUUGCCAAUGCCUUGUAUUCUGCCUCUGUGCUGGACCUGGAUACAGUGGCCUGUUUACGUGCACACCAUGAUAUCAAAUUUGGGUAGGUGCAUGAAGAAACUGGCAGACUUUGUUAACAGCAAAGGAUAUAUCAAGUCUGGUAAGUGUGAGAUACUGAAGAGCUCCUACCAGACUUCUGUAUUUGGUGAUGUCCUCUUGAUUCAAGAGCUCGCCUUCUGCAAGAGAUAAUUUUUGGGAGCUGGAUAACGGAGUAGAUGAGGGUUUACAUCCUUGUAACCCAGCCUUCAUAACCAAAUCAGUUGCAUACUUUUCUUGAGAGAGGAGAAGUCCAUCUUUGUGCUUCUUCACCUCAAUCCCAAGAAAGUAAUGCAAGUCACCAAGAUCCUUUAGAGGAAAGUCUGCACUUAAAUCGUUAAGAAGUCCUCUGAUUGCUUCAUCAGAUGAGCUGGUUACAAUAAUAUCAUCAACAUAUAUGAGAACAAAUAUGCAUGUGUUGGACUUGUUGUAGAUGAACAAAGAUGUGUCAGACUUAGAAGGAACGAAACCAAGUGCUUGCAUUUUGUGACAAAGGCGAGCAUACCAUGCCCUAGGAGCCUGCUUUAACCCAUAUAGUGCUUUAUCAAGCUUGCACACAUAAGAAGGAGCAUUCUUACUCUCAAACCUAGGAGGUUGUUUCAUGUACACUUCCUCUUCCAGAACACCAUGGAGAAACGCGUUCUGAAAAUCAAGCAGUCUGAGACUCCAUCCUCUGGAAACAGCAAUAGAUAGGACAAGACGAAUGGUGGCAGCCUUUACCACUGGACUGAAGGUGUCCUCAUAGUCUAUGCCAUAUCUCUAUUUAAAACCUUUUGCUACCAGCCUAGCCUUAUAACGAUCAAUGGUUCCAUCAGCUUUUCUUUUAAUCCUGAAAACCCACUUGCAAUCAAUCAAAUUUUUACCUUGUUGUGGGGGAACCAAGUGCCAUGUUUUGUUUCUCUUCAAUGCCAUGUACUCUUCAUUCAUAGCUUUCUUCCACCUCUCAUCACACAAUGCUGCUUCAAGAGUGUUAGGUUCAUCUGGUUCACCUGUGGAACAAACCAUACCAUACUUGGUUAUAUGCUUGUAGUUGACAGGUUGAAUUACCCCUUGUUGCAGACCUGUGCGACGUGGCUGCUGAGCAAUCAUCUCUGUUGCCACAGAAGAUCCAGCAGCGCUCAAAUCAUUUGCAACACCGGAGUCCGAGCAGGAUCCUGAUCCAGUAGCGCCACCCAGCAGCAUCGGAUUUUCUACGGCUGAAGCGUGAUGCAGGGCGGCUGGAGUAGCCGCAGAGGAUCCUAGAGUGCGGGCGUGCGGCUCAUCAUCGCGUGAUGAUGGCGCAUCCACUCGGGUUUCCACGCCGGUCGGACCGGCGCCCAGUACCACGCCCUCCCUGGACCGCGUGCUGUCGCGCCGCUUGUACGUCACAGGUUGGGUGGCGUACCGCGCACCUCCUGGGCCACCUGGAACCUGCCAGGUGGCAAGCGGCGAUUGGCGCGGGACGGGAGAUCCGGCGCAGCCAGCCGACGAAGCCCGCAUGUCACCCGCGGAACCGGCGCUGCGCGAAUCUGGGAAGGCUACAACGCGCUCGCCUGUGCCUGCCUCGUCAGCGGGCGGCAAUCCCGAGGCGGAUCUGAUCCGCUGCACCUGGGCGGAUCCCGAGAGGAAUCUGUCUCCUCAAGUGGAACACAUGAAAUAUGGCCUGUCCAGAUUAUUUUCAGCAGCAUUUUUCUCACGAUUUUCUCCUGUUUCAUCAACACAAAGCUCAUGCAGAUCAUUAGAUGAGUUAGUCAACAAUUGAUCAUCAAUAUUUUGUCCCCCUUGAUCAAAACUAGUAAGAUGAGGAGGCAAAAGAAGGACUUCUUUUCGAAGUAGUGCGCCAGCAUUAGGGUGGAGGUCAACGAACGGAAAUUUUGUUUCAUCGAAUACAACGUCACGUGAGAUGUCAACACGACCAGUGGAGACAUCUAGACACUUUACGCCCUUAUGCUGAGCACUGUACCCUAGGAAGACACACUGUUUUGAUCGAAACAUGAGUUUGCGAUUGUUGUAAGGACGGAGAUUUGGCCAACAUGCACACCAAAGACACGAAGAGACUUAUAGUCAUGUUUGGUGUGAAGAAGGCGUUCUACCGGAGUUUCAUUAUUAAUGACACCACUGGGUAGCAUGUUGAUAAUGUGAACGGCCGUGAGGAAUGCUUCAUCCCAAAAUUUGAGAGGCAUGGAGGCUCCUGCCAAAAGUGCAAGGCCGACCUCAACAAUGUGUCUAUGCUUACGUUCAGCUGAGCCGUUUUGCUGGUGAGCAUGUGGGCAUGAUACGUGGUGAGAGAUGCCAAGAUUUUGGAAGAAGGGGUUCAACUUUUCGUACUCCCCUCCCCAAUCUAAUUGGACAACAAUGAUUUUGCUGCCAAACUUGCGCUCAACAAGAGCUUGAAAAUUUUGGAAAACUUGAAACACAUAUGAUCUUCUUUUUAGAAGAUAGAUCCAAGAGAAUUUACUAUAGUCAUCAAUGAAACUCACAUAAUAAGUAUGUCUACCAACAGAGUUGGGGGCUGGACCCCAAACAUCGGAAAAAAAUGAGUUGUAAAGGUUUGGUAGAAACACUAGUAGAAAUAGGAUAUGGCAAUUGAUGACUUUUAUCUCGUUGACAUGAAUCACAAAUAGUUUCAACAUGACGCUCACCAACAAACGGGAGCUUAUUUUUCCUAAGAAACUUUUCAACUAAAUAAAAAGAGGCAUGUCCUAAACGAUCGUGCCAUCGUGUGGACGUAAGCUUGAUAGCACCACAAGCUUGUUUAUUGAAUCUUCUAAACUCCGGAAUCAACGGGUAGAGCCCUCGAACACAUCUACCUCGAUGGAGAAUUUCCCUCGUUGCCUGAUCCUUGAUCAAAAAGAAAUUAGGGUGAAACUCGAGAAAAACAUGAUUAUCAAUGGCAAUUCGAUGAACGGAAAGAAGAUUUUUGUGUGCACUAGGGACAUGCAAAAUUUUCUUAAGAUGAAGUUUACGUCUAGGGGUAUGAAAUAUUGAGUGACCAAAGUGACGUAUACUCAUACCUUCUCCGCUAGCAGCGUGGAUUUGAUCCUUGCCGCGGUAUUUCUCCUUCAUGGUUACCUUCUCGAGCUCAUUGGUGAUGUGGUUUGUGGCCCCACUAUCGGCGUACCAAUUUGUAUCAACGCCGUAGGACCCAUCAGCAGCCGCAGCAACCUUGUCAUCAUCUUGGGAGUCAUCAUCAUCAUCCUCAUACAUGUACCUGCAAUCUUUGGCUGUGUGUCCAGGUUUCCCGCAGAUCUGGCACCUUGGAGUGUCGGGACACGUCCUGUUGCUGCCGCCACGACCGCGACGAUGGCCCCUGCCGCCCGCGCGCUAAGGAGAGGAGCCGCGGUCGCUGCCGCUGCCGCCGCCAGAUCGCCCCUUGUUGCGGGGAGUGCCGCGUGAACGGGAGCUGUAAGUGCAUCUAGUGCCCCUUAGUGAUUUUGGUGUAUUGAAGACUUAUAGGUUAAGGAACUAAUGCGUUUGUGAGUGUACACAGAUCUAUAAGUCUAUGAGGAGUUUGAUAUUUACAGAGAAAGUCGACCCCUAAAAAUGAAGUUCUUCGACUGAAGACUUUGGAUUUCUGAAGACUUUGAAAGUGAAGAAAUUGGUGUGACCUUGAAGACUUAGUAUUCAUUUGAGGAAUAUGAAGCGUGAAGACUUUUGUUUUCGAAGUUUCAUUUUCUAUUUCUUGAGUCAUAGGAAACACCGUACUGUUAAAGGGGGUCGAGGAAAUACUAAGGAAAAAUUUCCAUGUGCUGCUCAACUCAAAAUCCUACACCUACCAAUCCCUUCGAGUCAAGCCAUUGGAAAUCUCAUACAGUUCAGUCAUAUUCUUCAGUGACAGAGACGAAGUUCUUCUGGUCGCUGAGGAAUUUGUUCUGACUGAGGAGUUAGGAAUUCGCCGGUGCGGAUUGCCUACACAGUGAGGAACAUGAUAGCCCUGAGAAAUUUGAUACUCAAAUUUUCGACCGUUGUUGUGCUGCGCGCCAGCUGUCCCAAAAUAUCUUAUCCACCUAACGGUCAUAUCAUUGAAGGGCAUUUAUGUCUUAUCAUGCAGGGCUGCUCCCUAGGCUAUAAAUAGCCGCCCCCUACAACCACUAGCUGGUUGGCUGCUCCGAGAGAAACUGACACUUGUCAUUUGAGAGCAUCCCAUCCUCCGAGGACUUUGAGAAAAAAUCAUCAAGUGAGGAAAACCCCAAACCCAAACACCUACAAACCCAAAGUGAUUGAGCAUCACUGAAGAGAUUGAUCCUGCGUGGAUCCGACGCUUGUUACCUUUGAAGACUGUGCUUCUUCCAGACGGUUAGGCGUCAUGGUCUAGAGCAUCCAAGAGGAAAUUGUGGAUCGCCGAGUGACCGAGUUUGUGAAGGUUUGGAAGUCACCUGAAGACUUACCACGAGUGAUUGGGCGAGGUCUGUGUGACCUUAGCUCAAGGAGAAUACGGUGAGGACUGUGUGUCCGGGACUGGGUGUCCUCAGGUUUAAAUACCUAGCCGCUCCAACCAGACGUACAACUGAGACAGCAGUUGGAACUGGUCUACCAAAUCAUUGUCUUCACCAAGCCAACUGGUUCUAUUUCCUCAACUCUUUCAUUUCCUCAUUACUGUGUUGUGCACUUGUUCAUAUCUGUGUUUGAAGACUUUGACUGAAGAGUUUCUCAAUUUCUUCAGUCUGUUUGUCUUCAUCCUAUGUUAUCCUGUGUUUACGCUUUCUGUACGCUGUGAUUGUCUUCAUCUCAUCAUGAUGACUAUGCUUGUGUUCUGCUAUGCAUACUUUUGAGUACUUAUUCCGCUGCAAGUAGUUCUUCGCUAAGGAAUUUCCUCACCCACAAAUUCCUCAGUGAAGAAUUUCUAAAAAUCGCCUAUUCACCCCCCCUCUAGUCGAUAUAACGCACUUUCAAUUGGUAUCAGAGCAAGGUACUCCCUUGUUCUAUGUGAUUUUGGUUUAACCGCCUGGAGUUUUAGUUAUGUCGACCGCAGGUAUGAAGAAAGUAACAUGUCCCAUCUUUGACGGUCAUGAUUAUCCCAAGUGGAAGGCCAUGAUGAAAAAGCGCCUCAUGGCGAUGAACAGCGAGCUGUGGACCGUCACUGAGAUUGGUCUUACCGAUCUGUGCAAGACGGCGGAAGCUGAUGACAUUCGCAAGUACACUCUUCUCAACCUCACGGCGAAGGGCGUCAUCUGCUCCUGUCUGUCUCAAAAUCAGUUUAGGAACGUCAUGCAUCUCGAUCAUGCGAAGCUUAUCUGGGACCGUCUCUCUGAUGUCUAUGAAGGUCAUCGAACCCGUCAUGAUCCUUAGUUUGAGGACUGCAAGGAAUCUCUCAAAUCGAUGACAUUUGAACCAGAAUCAUCCUCCUCCUCACCAUGCCUUAUGGCAGAUGGUGAAAAGGUAACUGAAGGCUAUCUGUCUGAAUCUAGUGAUGAUGAAUCUGAUGAUGAAUUAGGACCAAGUUAUGUCAAACUUGUUUCCCUUGCUGGUAAGCAACAAAGAGCGUUGGAAAAGGUUCAAAACAUGCUUAGUAAGAGCGAUGAUAUGUUGGGUGAAGAAAUGGAUCAGUCAAAAGCUUUGGCUGAAAGUCUUCAGAGACUUCAUACUAAGUUUGACAACCUUCAAGGUCAUCAUAACACUCUCUUAUCUGAUCAUGAGAAGCUUUCUUAUGAAUUUCUUCAAAGAAAGCAAGAUCUUGACAAGCUAAGAGUGAGUUAUGAAGAUCUUCAGAAGGAGCGCGAUUAAUUACUUGCUCAACAAAUCAGCGCUGCUCAGGAAGAAUUUGUUCCUCCAUGUUUGAAAUGCAUUGAAAGUGAAUCUGCUAAUUCUUCACCUGAAUGUUAAAUGCUACAAAUUCCUCAACUGUCUCUGCUAUCAUUAAUUCCUCAUAUGAGGAUCACUAACGAUGCAGGGCUGAAGGAAUUGCACAUGACAGGCAUGUACAAAAGCCUCAAAGGGCAUCAGACUCUUUGUGAUGUGCUUAAAAAGCAGAUCCUCAAUAGGAACCCUAGGAAAGAGGGUAUUGCCUUUGAGAGGAAACUCAAUGCUGAUGGUACAUAUUGGAAGCCUGAGCAGUACCCCAAAACCACAUGGGUUGCUGCAAAGGGACCUCCAGUUGAUCCAUCUAAUUUAUCUGGCUUUACAUGUGAAUCUUCUCAUUCUUCUGAUGAGUCAUUUGACUCCAACUAUAAACCGUUCAAAAAUCAGAAUGGUGAAGUAUUUGCUAGAUAUGUUGGCACUAACUGCAGAAACGGUCCUCCUAUGAAGAAAAUCUGGGUUCCCAAAAGAUGCCUUGAAAGUCUUCAGGUGAAUGUCCUCAUGACACCACCUGUGAAGAAUAGGAACCCCAGAUCAAAUUCUUCAUAUGGACCAGAUUCUUCAUAUGGAUCCAAGUCCUCAUACGGACAAAAUUCCUCACAUGGAUCAUAUUCCUCAAAAGGAUCAAAGUCCUCAUAUGAACAUCAUCGUGCUAACAACUCUGUUUCGCAGGGAAGAGCUAAGGGCUAUGAAUAUGAGCAUUAUUCUUCUAAUUAUUAUGUUCAUAAGUCCUCGAAGAAUUUCUCUGCUUAUUCAUACGCUUACCCUAACUUCUCUUAUGAGAAACGAAACGGAUUGGCUGCUAUGCCACCUUUCUCAUAUGGAGCUCGCAGAGUGAUGAACUCUUUGCCACCCCUUCAGAUGUGGGUGGUGAAGAAAAAGAACUAAUCUCUUCUGCAGGGUCAGGUCUCCAGUCGUACUUAAACGUCUGAAGAAUUUGCUGGAGACCAGAUGUAUGCCUGAAAGGACGCAGGCCAAUCAUGAAGAGGUGAACUUUCAUUUCUCUCAUCCUCAUACUGCUUUAUCUAUUCUAUUGCUUGAUGAAAUUGAUCUGAUGAAUUGAUGUCAUAUUCUUCACUGAUGAAGUAUAUGAAGUUCGUAAGCUGCACUAAUUCAUCUGCAGGAUGAUCAACCCAAAGCCACUGAGUGGGUCCUCGAUAGUGGAUGUACAAAUCACAUGACUGGUGACAAGAAUCUAUUGAUUGAUGCUCCCUUAUCACCAUCGCAUCUGAAGCAUAUCAUCUUCGCUGACAAAGGCAAAAGUCAGGUAUUGGGUCUAGGUAAGGUUGCGAUCACAAAGGAUCGACACAUGGACAAAGUAAUGCUUGUCGAGUCCUUAGGAUACAAUCUUAUGUCUGUCUCAAUGCUUUGUGAUCUUGAUAUGGUAGUUGUCUUUGGCAAGUAUCGUUGUGUUGUGGUUUUGGAAGCUGACAAUUCCAAAGUCUUCGAAGGCUUUAGGAGAGGAGACUUGUAUAUUGUUGAUUUCUCUACAGGACCGCAACCAGCCGUGUGCCUACUUGCAAAAGCUUCAGAAGGGUGGCUAUGACAUCGACGACUUGGUCAUGCAGGCAUGAGAAAUUUGCACAUGCUUGCGAAGAAGAAGCAUGUCAUUGGCAUUGAGAAUGUCAAAUUCCUCAAGGAUCACCUAUGUGGAGCUUGUGAAGCUGGAAAGAUGACCAAGGCUAAGCAUCCAGCGAAGACUAUCAUGACCACUACUCGACCAUUCGAAUUGCUUCACAUGGACCUCUUUGGUCCUAACCAUUACUCAGAUAUCACAAAUGACGCAUCUUUCUAUGGGCUUGUUAUUGUUGAUGAUUACUCUCGCUACACAUGGGUACACAUUGUUACUUACAAACAUGAAGUGCAGGAAGUCUUCAAAUGAUUUUUCUCGAGAGCUUCAACCAACUUUGGUGUGAAGAUCAAGCACAUCAGAAGUGAAAAUGGAACUGAGUUCAAGAAUUAUGGUCUUGAUGACUAUCUUGAUGAACUUGGUAUUACUCAUGAGCUACCUGCUCCUUACACUCCUCAGCAGAAUGGCGUCGUGGAGCGCAAGAAUAGAACUCUUGUUGAGAUGGCUCGCACUAUGCUUGAUGAGUACAAGACGCCUCGUCACUUUUGGAUUGAGGCAAUUUAUACUGCGUGCCACAUCAUCAACAGGGUAUAUCUUCACAAAUUCUUCAAGAAGACUGCCUAUGAACUCCUCACUGACAAGAAACCCAAUGUGAGUUAUUUCAAAGUCUUCAGUGCUAAAUGUUGGAUUAGAGAUCCUCAUCACAAUGCUAAAUUUGCACCGAAAGCACAUGAAGGUUUUAUGCUUGGUUACGGAAAGGACUCACACACCUACAGAGUCUUCAACACCGUUCUUCACAAGGUUGUUGAAACUGUAGAUGUGCGGUUCGAUGAAACUAAUGGCUCGCGAAGAGAGCACCUACCCUCUGUGAUAGAUGAACCAACACCUGAGGAAACUAUCAAGUUCAAGGCAACUGAGGAUGUCAUUCCUACCGAAGAAUCUGCUGAAGAAUUCAUUCCAGAACGUGAAGAACGUCGAGCUAAUGCACCUGAAGAAAUUGCUGAAGAAAAUGCUGAUCAAAUUCCUCGACGACAACCUACCCAUCCUCGCGUUGCAAAAGAAGUGCAAGUUGAGAAGAUCAUCGAUGACAUUGAAGCACCAGGUCCUCUCACACGCUCAAAAGCUUCACAUUUAUCUAACUUCUGUGGGCACUAUGCUUUUGUCUCUAUCUCAGAGCCCACUAAGGUAGAUGAAGCAUUUCUGGAGCCUGAGUGGAUUCAGGCCAUGCAAGAAGAAUUACAUCAGUUCGAGCUCAACAAUGUUUGGGAACUGGUCAAUCGUCCAGAUCCUCGCAAACACAAUAUAAUUGGCACAAAGUGGAUCUACCGCAACAAGCAAGAUGAAAAUGGCCUUGUGGUGAGGAAUAAGGCACGGCUAGUAGCUCAAGGCUACACACAGGUUUUGAAGAUCCUAAGCAUCCUGACAAAGUCUUCAGACUAAAUAAGGCCCUCUAUGGCCUCAAGCAGGCCCCUCGGGCGUGGUAUGAUACUUUGAAGGAAUUCCUCAUGAAGAAAGGCUUCAAACCCGGUUCACUCGACCCUACUCUUUUUACUAAAUCCUAUGAUGAUGAAUUGUUUGUAUGCCAAAUAUAUGUUGAUGAUAUCAUCUUUGGUUGUACUGACCAACGUUAUAGUGAUGAAUUUGCCUAUAUGAUGAGUGAAGAAUAUCAAAUGUCUAUGAUGGGAGAGUUGAAAUUCUUCUUAGGUCUUCAAAUUCAUCAACAGUGUAAUGGCAUAUUCAUAUCUCAGGAGAAAUACCUCAAGGAUGUACUGAGAAAAUUCGGCACGCAAGAUUGCAAAGGCAUCAAAAUUCCAAUGCCCACAAGUGGCCAUCUGUGCACUGAUGAAAAUGGUAUUGACUUCGAUCAAAAGGUAUACCGCUCCAUGAUUGGUUCUUUAUUGUACUUAUGUGCAUCUAGGCCAGAUAUUAUGCUUAGUGUUUGCAUGUGUGCCUGAUUUCAAGCUACACCAAAGGAAUCACACCAUAAGGCUGUGAAGCAUAUUCUUCCAUAUCUAGCUCACACACCAACACUAGGAUUAUGGUACCCCAAGGGCUCGUCUUUUGAUCUCGUUGGAUAUUCUGACUCUGACUAUGCUGGUGAUCGUGUGGAUCGCAAGUCAACAUCUGGUACAUGUCAUUUCCUCGGACGAUCUUUGGUCUGUUGAUCCUCAAAGAAACAGAACUGCGUAUCACUGUCUACUGCUAAAGCUGAGUACAUUGCUGCUAGUUCUUGUUGUGCUCAAUUGCUGUGGAUGAAGCAAACUCUCAAGGACUACGGCGUCAACGUGAAGAAUGUGCCUCUCUUCUGUGAAAAUGAGAGUGCCAUCAAGAUUGCUCACAACCCAGUUCAGCACUCGAAGACAAAGCACAUUCAAAUUCGUCAUCAUUUUCUUCGCGAUCAUGUGUUGAAGGGCGACAUUUUUAUUGAGCAUGUGAAGACUGAAGAACAGCUAGCUGAUAUCUUCACAAAGCCCUUGGAUGAGAAGAGAUUUAGCAAGUUGUGGUGUGAGCUAAAUAUCUUAGAAUCUUCGAAUGUUCUUUGAAAAGGACACUCAUCCUAACACUUAUGCAAAAUUGAUGACUUAGAUGUGCAACACAUGAAGAAACGUUUUUCUUCAAUCAAUGAAGAAUAACACUCUAAGUGUGAAGAAAUUAAUGAAGAAUUUGAUUCUCAGAACCCUGCGACAAUUGUACGCGGUGUCUGAAAUCAUCAUUCUUAUACGGUGGGUCACGCCACCACAAAAGAUGAAAAUCUUCAAUUUGAGUUUUUCCUCAGCCUUGAAAUUCCUCAGUUGUUCAUAUUCUUCAACUUUGCAAAAUGUUCACUGUUUCCGUCGUUUUUCUUCAUUGGAUAUAUAUAUAAGUUUAUGUCCUCUACAGCAUUCACUUAUGGCUAAUUCUUCAAGUUGGUUUUUCUGCUAAGUGAAUGUGAUCGGACCUUUCCCCCUCUAUGCAAUACUCAACCCAAUCUAUUCACAAAUUCUUCAUGUGCGUUCCAUUUGAAACUCGUUCAAAAUCUUCACUGUGUCCUUGACAGCUGAAGAAUUUGCGAACGGAACUUUUAACUUAUCUUAUCCAAAAUUUUCGGCUUUGCCGCUCAAACCGUUCCGCUUCCCACGAUAUACUUAUCUAUUCACCCACGAUCUAACACAAUCUCCACUCCUCAGUACGUGGGUGACACAUGUCAUGCGGAUGAGAAGGGUCAGGGGCACGUUCGUCCAAUUUCUUCGGGCGAACCGUUUUUCACCGUGGCUAUAAAUACCCCCUCUCCCUUCCUCACUUCUUUUACUCCGCUCGACCUCUCUCCCGCUCGAGCUUCUCAAACCCUAGCGCCGCCGCUACAUCAUCGUCGCCGGUGAGGAAGAGCUUCACUGCCUCGACCUCGUCGUCGCCGUACUCACGCCGGCCGCGGAAAUCUUCACUCUGCCGCCGCCGUAGCCGUCUUCCUCCGCCAAGUUAGGGCGUGGAAGAUCUGCACAGACGAGCUUCACUUCUCCACACCUCAGUUCGUCGUGUUCUUCGUUCAGGGUAAUUAAAAGUUACUUUUAUUGCCCUCUUUGAUUCAAAUAUUUACUACAAAAUCUUCAAAGGUGUUUUUCUUCAAAUCCUCACACGCUAAAACACCUCACAUGUCAUCUGUUCUUGAUUCGUUUCUCUAAGCAUCAUUUUUCUUCAAGAUUCCUCAAUUGUGUGGAUCUUCGAUCUAUACAACUCUGGAACCUAAGACAAAGAACGCUUAGUGAAAUUCUUCAAGACUCAUCUGGUCAAAUUCCUCAAACUUGUUCUUUUUGAAAAACCUUCUGAGAACGCAUAUGACCUCUCCAAAUUCCUCGCAACUAUACUCUGUUCACAGGUACUCAUGUCCGCUGCUGAAUCACUAGGUUCUCAUCAACUUAACUCAUUUGCAGCGUUCCUUGAAGAAAAGUUGCAUACUUCUUCAGAGAGUUCAAUUGUUCAAAUUCCUCAACUGAAGAAAAUGGCUAGUGAAAAGAGGCCACAGAAAGGAGGAAAGAGGCCUGAGGUCAAUAGUGCCUUUGAAAUCCCUGAGGACAUUUAUGUUGGGUACUACACACCCCCUGAGGAAGACAAAAAUCAGCGCAAGGUGCGCAUUCAGAGGAUAGAAAGGAGAUGGGCAAAAGAGUGGAGGGAGUACAGGUAUGUGACUCCAAAAUACAUGAAGAAAUUCGCUAUUACUCCUCCAUGCUCAAGACCUCCAUUGGCACCUGGCCAAGAGGCAGAUCCCACUAGCAUCAAGCGCGGUGAGGAAUUUCCUGAAGAAUGGACCAAGCGCCAGGCCAAGCUGGCCAAACAGGCUAAAGAUGCAGUGAGGAAAUUCAACGAAGAUUCCACUGCUGCUGUAGAGGCCUCUGUAAGGCCGAAGAAAUCCAUGGCAAAGAAGCUUGCACACAAGCCAAGUGCCUCGUCUUCAAUGCCCUCACGGCCAAUUUCCUCAGCCAAGCCCUCACGGCCAAUUCCUCAAGCCGCUCCUGCUCCUCCAAAGUCCUCAGCUGUUCCGACAAAAUCCUCAGCACCUGUGCAUCUUGCCACGUGCCAAAGGACCACAGGCAUCUCCAUUGCCUCAGGAGCUUCAGCUAGUUCCUCAGUUGCACCAAAUUCUUCAACAGGACCCUCUCUGCUGAAGACAAAGACCACCGCUGGACGAGGCUCUCGCCCAAGUCCUCAGAAGAAGCAGGUCGCCUUCCAAGUACCGUCUAAAGAAGACGAUGCUGAUGAUGAAGAACUUGCUGAAAUCAUCAGAGACAGGCAAGUCAGGGCCGCUAGAGCCAAGGGCACAGAAGUGCCACUGCUUUUGGAUCCAAAACUGAUCCUCGACUAUAUUUAUCUCUGGCACAAGGACCCAAACACUCAUAUGCCUGAUUUCAAGUUGACACCUGGCCAAAGUCACAUGCUGACUCAUUUCAUCAGUGAAGAAAAAUGGAAAUAUGAGAAGGUCAGGCAGCUCAAGAAAGCAGAGUACGGGAAGGAGAAGUUCCUGAAGAACAACGUUGUCUCUAUGACAACUGAUGAACUUGUAAAGCUCCAGUCUGAAAUCAAAGUCCCCAGCGAUGAUUUCAACGCUUACUAUGCUGAUUGGAAAGGAGCCAAGGUCAGGUUCGUCAAUCUAACGAAGACACUCACUUCAAGUGCCGCUGCCCCUGUGCACAUUGAAGUCACUCAGGCUGAAGCAUCUGCUCAGCAAACUGAGGAACAUGCCAGCACCGCUGAUGACAAUCAGGCUGCUGAAGAUAAUGUGAGUUCCAAGGCUGAUGACUGCAUUCCAGCCACUAAAGAAAUUCCCAGGGCACCCACUAGUGGUGCGCCUGAAGAAAAUGAAGAGGUCAGGGCAACUGCAUCAGUUGUGCCUGAAGAAACUGAACCAAAUUCCUCUGCUCCUUAUGCGCCAAUUCCAACACCAAUCCUUCCAUCUACAUCAGAUGUGAAGAAGACCAAGGCUGCAGAGCGUGCAGCCGUGAAGAAAAGGAAAGCAUCAGCUUCUUCAGCUCCGAAGAAAAUGAAGACCAUGACCAGCUCUUUUGCAAACCCGAUUGAUGUUGUUCCAAUCUCAACCAUGCCAUCAAAGGACCUUGUUUCUUUUGAUGAAGAAUAUGUGAUCCCUAGCGGAUCUGAUGAAGAAACUCCUUCUGCUGCUACGUCAGAGCAGAUGGAUGAAGAAAUUGAAGUGGAUGAAAUCCCUUCAACCCCAGUUGUUUCCUCGCCUGUGCCUCAAUUUACUGCUGAAGAGGUCGGCGUUGAAGAAAUUGAAGAUGAAGAUGUGGACAUUGGAUGUACUACACCAGUGAUGAAUGAUGACUUUUGGGAAAGUCAGCACCCCAAUUCUCCACUCUUCACUCCACUGCAGCAAAUUCCUCAGUCCCUAGUCACUACAGUUCAACUGGGAUCUGAUGAAGCUCAUGAAGACAUUCCAGCCGUUAGUGCUGAAGAAAAUGAAAAUGAAGAAAUGAAGAACUAGGCUGCCACUGAAGAGGAACCAGAAAUUCCUCAGCCUGAAGAACCUGAGAUUGCGAUUCCUGAGGUUGUGAUGCAACUCACUGACACUCCUCUGCCCAAGCCAAAGGAUCCAUUCUCCAGGAAGCAGAAAUUCAAGACUGAUGCCUUCUUUGGCGAGCAUGUAUUCUUCACUGAUUACAACCCUUAUGACUCUGCUCGCAUAAGGAAGAGGCGGUUCUGGACCUCCAGCCAGGCAAAUUUCUAUUCCUCAGUGCUGUUCGACAAAGACAAAGUCUUCGAUCAUGAGCACAUUCCUCACGUGGACAUGGAAUCCCUGCCGUGCUUCGAGCCAGUCCUUAGCGUUCUUCACGACGCUGGACUGUUAAAUUUCUGCACUGACAUCUGUGAUUGGAAUGAAGAACUUAUUCUUCAAUUUUACGCAACACUACACAUCACUGGAAAUUCUGAAGAUGUGAAUUCAUGGGUGCUGGACUGGAUGUCUGAAAACACUCACUACAAGGCACCAGCUACUGAAUUGCUUCGUGCCUUACCUCUCAGUCCGCCCCUUGAAGGUGCUUGUUGCGUCUACAAUGAGCCUGAGCUAACCGAUCACUAUAUGCAAGUGCUAAUGAAGCCUUUGAAGCCAGGUCAGACCUCAAGAACAAAAUUCCUUGUGAAGGAAUUGUUGUAUGUGCCUCGGACUAUCUAUCGCAUUCUGACGAAGACAUUGAGUCCAAUCAAGGGCCACGACUCAAAUGAAGAAGAAGUCGUUGGCAUCAUGAAGAAUCUGCUUUUCAAUAUCAUUCAUAGCAUUCCCAUCAACUUCCAUGAUUUCUUCAUGAGGACUCUGGCCAACGUCGCCAUGUCACCGUUUGAGCUGAAGCCUUAUGCACCUUGGAUUAUGAGAUUCAUCAGGACAAGGUCUUCACUCAACUAUAAAGCUGAUACACUGAACCAUUGCAGCUACUUGCCCCCAAUUGAAGUCCUCAAACGGACAUUUUCCUCAGCUGAUGAAAAGGGCAAGGCUACUGCAGUAAUUGAUGAAGGCAUUCGUCCAUUGGAUGGACAAUUUCGCAAGGCUGCAUCCUACUCCACCAAUGAUGACUCCGCCACCCAUGACUCUGCCGCCAACGCACCCAAGCAAAAGCCUCAAGGCACAGCACCCAGGGUGAUGACUGACCGUGAGCUUCUCCUCAGUCUUCACCAGAAGGUUGAUCGCAAUCAUAAAUGGGUCAAACGUCAGUUUGGUUCAAUUCUUCACAACAUGACUGUUACCCACAAUGCAGUGAAGAAAAACCACUACUACCUUCAUGAAAUCCUCAACCGCACCUGGGCUGUUCUGUCUCAAGUCUACAGUGAAGAAGAUCUGAAGACAAUGGGCCUCAAGGACGAUCUUGACUGGGCUGCACCUCCUUCGAAGAAGUACAAGAAGGUCAAGGUUCCUUCCUUGGUGGCCAGCUCCUAUUCUUCAUCACGUGACACUGAUGAACAUGAAGAUUUGGACGACACUACGGCAGGCCCUACAUCGACAAACGACCCCAACAACGCUGACGCUCCUUCAUCACCUUGAUAUUCUUCAGGGGCGUUAGUCCUCAUUUUCAACCCUUUUGGUCAUUUGAUGACAAAGGGGGAGAAAUUUGAGUUAGUCUUCAAGCGGGUCUAUCUUAUGGGCGUUUUUUCUAAGUUGCAACUCUCGUUCUUUUGAAGACUUUGCUGGAUCGAGUUGUAAACUUAAACUCUAUGGUGGCCUGAUACUUUUGAUUGUUUUUUCUGCAUGCUUAUUCCUCGUUAAUGUUAUUGCACGCAUUCUGAAUUAUAUCAGUCACCAUAUUUCAUCAUGCAUUUCAAAUUCUUCAUAUAUUAUGUCAAAUGCGUGUAUGAAUUACAAGAUAUAGGGGGAGAUAUCCAUGAUUCAACUCUUCAAGUGUGCAUUGCUUCAAAAGCAAAUUCCUCACUAUGCACAUCUUCAGGGGGAGUUCUUCUAUAUCUUUUUAAAAGAUAGAUCCAAGAGAAUUUGCCAGGAGACACCGGAGGAGGAGG
rnacentral:lncRNA from 1 species